AUUGAUGACGUCUGAUAUGAGAGGAAGGUUCAGAGAACUUUUAUGAAUUUUUCUUAGCCUCUUCUCUAUUACCCCCAUCCGUUCCAUUCUUCAUUUCCUCUUUACUUACGAAACUCCAAAGAACACAAAAGUUAUCAAAAUCUUUAGACCUCAACGAAUUUGGCAACGAACUGAAGCUGGUACAUGAAAUUGGAGAAGAUUUGAGGCAAGACCAACUUAAAGAAGGAAUUAUAUUCAAUCAAUUUCAUGCUUGAAUCACGAAUUUGGUGGUUUCAUUAAGCAAGUAAGGUAAAGAUACUCAUUUAUAUUAUAUGUAAAAAAAAUGAAAGAAUAUGUGUGAAUAUCAAUGAGAAUAUUCUGUUUGGGUUGUGAAUUGAUAAAAGGGGAUGUUGUGUACUUUGUGUGGAGUGACAAGGCUGAAAAUUUUGGGCUAGACUCCAUCCAAAUAGCUAUGAACUCUGUUUCUUAACGUGGCUUAAAGUGGUGCUGUAAUAACCCGAGAUUUUCUAUAUAAAAUAAAUAAGAAAUUUUGCGUAUAAAUUUUUUUUUAAUGACGAGACUAAGUGUCAAGUAAAGUGNNNNNNNNNNNNNNNNNNNNNNNNNNNNNNNNNNNNNNNNNNNNNNNNNNNNNNNNNNNNNNNNNNNNNNNNNNNNNNNNNNNNNNNNNNNNNNNNNNNNUAUUAUUAUUUUAGUAUUAUUCAGCUUAAAGAAAUGGUAUCGUGGAGAACCGAGUUCGGGUUUCAAGUACCUGGAUUUGGGGUCGUCAUAGGUGCACUAAGCGUGUUUGAUAAAAUGCCUCUUAGAUGUUGUCAAGCUUUAAAAGUAAAAAAAUUUGUUAAUGUUAUGAACAAGAUAACUUUUGUAUAUCAAAUUUGAUGUUACCUAGGUGGUUUAGCUGAAUUAAAAAGGGCUUAGAAGCAAGUUUAUGAAAGUUUAACAAUUUUGCUUUAAUAGGAAAUCUGAUGCAUCUGGGCAGUUUCAUGUCUUGCAAGUGAAGCUUAGAAUGUUUUUUUUACUAUGUUAUAUUUUUAUAAAAUAGUAUGUAGUACCAUAAAGAACAUAUUUCAAUUUGAAAGCAAUUGGAUGAAAGGGGUGCAAGAUAUAAAAUUUCAAAAUGGCCUAGUUGGAUUGCUGCAGCAGCGGUAGCAGUAACUGGGCACGCACACCGGCUACUGGAUGUCAGUUGCGCUGCCUUAUGUCAUGCAGAUUGUGCAAAUUUAAUGACAUUAAAUUGUACUGUAUUGUGUUUCGUGGUCUAUUUGGUGAAACGAAAUAGGAUGUAUAUUGAUGGCAUAUAAGAUUCAGUUCUAGAAUUUACUUCUUAAUGAUUUGUAUGGGAUAUUCCUUCUCUGUUAAGGUAAUGUAUCCUUUAUCUAAGAUAGGGGCAUUAUGAUGAUUUAUGAAACCUUUUAAAGGAGAAAUAUGACUUUAAACCCAUUAUGACUAUUCAUACAUCUUAUGUUCCUGAUAAGGAAAUUGGUGGGUUGAUGGGAUGAUGAAGUUUGUGUGUAAUGCAUCCGGGCCAAGCCUUAACAUAAUGAAUAUAUAUUAAGGUUGGUAUACUGUAUAUAUAUAUUAGGUUACUAUAAUGUGGUGUUAUUAUUAAUUAUAUUUCUGAACUCAAAUCUGAUACUUGAUAUUUUAAUGGUAUCGUAUAUUAUAAUGGUAUCGUAAUAUGAGUUAUAACAUGAGUCAAAUCAAACUUGAAGUGUUAAGCAUCAAUGUUACACUUGAUAAUGCUUUAUGGCAGUGCUAAAGGAAAGCAUUUUAUCACAAAUUUUGAUUAGUUCGUAUUUGUAGUGUUAGAGUAACUUACAAUCUUUAUAUAUCCAUUAUAGUUUAUUACGAUGGUAUAUGAAUUAAUGGGUAUCAAGCAAUCCGUAAGUGAUUCAACAAUUAUAGUGGUCAUGUGAUUAUACUAAUAAAGACAUUAUGAAUGACAUGGAUAUUCAUAGCAACAACAGAUAUAGUUGAUACGAGUUUAAUUGUAGUUCGUGGAUAAAGUAUACAUUAAGCUGUGUACCUUAUGUAUGUUAUAUAGGUGCUAUAUGAAGUCAUAACGCUUCAAGUUCACGAGAGCGAUUAGAACCGGUAGCAUUUUCACAGAAAAGGCAAGUUUUUCAGUUCUGUUAUGUUUGUGGAUGGAAUGUGGUUAUGUGCUAAAUUAUAUAUCAUGCUCUAUGAAUUGUUAAAGUCAAAAUAUGACUCAGUUAAUUGGGUUAUGGAACUCAAUUUAUAUGUGAUUUGUGAUAACACAUGUUGUAUGAUGUAACUCGAUAAAUAAAAAAUGUAUAAUGCAUGAAUGUAUGCUUUGUAAGGAAUUAUUGAUGCAUGUAGGAUAUGCAUAGUAAAGAAUAUAUGUUGCAUGCGGAUAUGCAUAUUAAGGGUAAUGUAGUGUAUAUGGAAUUGUGUGCUAUGUGAAACAUGAUAGACUGUUAAAUUUGCUGGGCUGUCGAGCUCAAUCUUGCAAACACAAACUUUUUGCAGGUUAAUGACGUUAUGCAAUAUUAUUUUUGUUUUGCGGAUGAUGAAGGAUGAAUGAUGGACGAAAUGAAUACAUUUCUUUGAAUUAGAAAUGGUAUAAAGCUAUGAUUGAUAGUUGCUAAAUAUAAUUGACAGUAAUGUAUAGUUUGAAAUGUUAAAUAGAUAAAGAAUGUUUGUUCUGAAAUGAGAAUAAAUAUAAUUUUAGUAUAAAGAAGAAUUGUAAAGGUUGCGAUUCAGGGAAUGAAUGAAUGGGAAUAAAGAAGAAAAUUAAAAUUUAUUCUGCAUUUUUAGCUAUUUUAACAUUAAAUAAUGUUUUAAAGCUAUAACAAGGUAGUAUUAACGCACAAGAUCGGGAAGGAAAAUGGUCCCGAUUUUGGGAUUGUUACAAGAACCGACGGUGGUUCCUGGUGGUGGCUAGUGGUGGUGGUGGCGGCGAUGGUGGUGGUAGAGAUAAGAACAGUGAUGAUGGUGGUGGUGGCUGUUGGUGGUGGCGUUUGGUGGCGGCGCGACAAUGGUGGUGGUGGAGAUGAGAGUAGUGAGAGAGAGGUGAGACUGAGAGAGGGUAAAGUGAGAGAGAAAUGAGAGAGAGAAUGAAGUGAGAGAGUAAAGUCUGACUGAAAUGAGAGAGAGAGUAAUGUGAGAGAAUGAGAGGCGACUGGGGAAGACGAGCUGAUUAAUUAGGUUUAAAGAUUAUUUUCGACGGAAUUUCCGUCGAACCUAAAUCCGUCGUAAUUAACGUAUCUUCGACGGAUAUUUCGUCGAACAUAAACACUAUUCAGUCGAAUAUAAGGUUGGCGCUGGCGGGAACAUUGGCGCCAAUGGGAUACAUCUAUUUUCCGACGAACAUCUGUCGAAAUUAAUAUAGUUUCGACUGAAUUAUGUUCGACUGAAUAAUCCGUUGGAACAAUUAUUAUCUUCGAGGGAAUAUGUCCGUCGAACUUAGUUCCGUCGAAAUUAGCCGAUUUUCUUGUAGUGUGUAGCUGCAAAUGUACGUAAGAUCAAUAUUAACUUUUAAAAAGUUAAUUUGUGAUGUUUUUACAUUAAAAAUUCAUAUGAUUUAUUUAAAUUUUGAAAAUAAUAGUUUUAUAAUUAAUAGUACUUUUAUAAUAUUUAUAAUUAUAUUGACAUUAAUUAAAUAAAUUUAUAUCAAUUUUAAAUUUGAAUACAUUUGAAAUUAACUUUUAAAAAAAUAAGUCAAUAUUAAUUUUAUAAUUUGAAAAUGAAGAUGAGUUGGAUAAUGAUUGAUGAGUUGUCCACUUAAAUGAGGGUGUGAAAUGUUAUUUUGCAUACAUAGAGAACAGUCUUUUGACUCCCUCAUCUUGAGGAGCAAAAUCAUAUAUAGAGAUUAAAAUAAGAGUUAAAUAAGGAUAAGGAAACUGUUGGAUAAUGAUUUGUUGAUGCAUUCUUCAAAAUUGGGGAUAGAGAGUUUAGUGGAAAAAUUGUUGUGAAUGCUCUAAGAACUUCAUUCUAAAAAUAGAGCAUCUUUGAUUUUGGUACCAAAAAAUAUAUCUUCAAUUCUGAAAUUUAGAGAGUAUAAACUUUGACCUUUACACUUAAACGGCUUAAAAAUACUUGACCCUACAACUUUCUUCAUUUUAAAAAGUGAACCCCAAUAUUUAGUGUUUAAGUUAAUGCUUAAUUUUUGUCAAUUUUGAGACAUUAAACUUUGUUGUCACUGAAAAUUAAUGUACUCAUUUGUAUUAUUAAGAUGUCGCGUAAUAUAAUGUAACUUCAAUUACAUGAGACUGUCGCGUAAUUUUUCAAUGAUUAUAAACUUUUAUGUGCAUGUUUGGUUAUCGUGUUUAAAGCGUUUAGAAUUUCAAACGCAAUUAAAAAUCAUGUUCAUCUAGUAACAAUUUAUUUUAAACGCAGUUUAUUUAACUCACAAAAGCAAUGGUUGGCCCUCAAACGCCAUGCAUCAAAAUUAAAGAAGUGUGUUUGGAAGCUAAACGAUACAAACACUACCACCACAAACACUACAAAUGUUGAUAGUCGAACAAACUUUAUAUGUCGAAAUCCAAACUUUAUGAUAUAAUGUCUUAAACGUUAAACGUUUGGUUGAUAUGUUUGAUUUGCUAUAAAUUUUUUACUACCAUAUCUCACAAAAUAUGAUGAGUCAUCGAAUCAUUGUCCAAUUGUUGUAGAAAAGUUCAAGGUGUGAUAUGGGUGACAAUUAAUGCCCUUAAUGCGUGUAACAGAUAGCUUUUUUUUUUGUUCAGCGUUGCGGCUAUUAUGGAACUAACAUAUAAUACAUGUUGGUCAACAAGUCCUCACACAUUAGCCUUCCUUAUUUUUCAUCGUCUGGCCCUUUGAAAUUUUGGCCUCCCCAUUUCUCACUCCUCCUCUCAGUUUUUUUUUGCUAUAAAAGGUAAUCAAAUUGAAGGAAAAUAUACACACCAAAAUUCAUAUACUCUCAUCCGAGAGUUUAAGAGAAAGGAGAGAGUGAAAAGUUUCUUUUGAAGUAAUUUGAGUUUGUACUAAGAUUAAGAUAUCUUUAUAUUCUCUUAGUUUAUUAUAGCGAAUUAUUCGGAGUUUGUCUCAUUAUUUUUACCUCUUAGUUUUAGAGGGUUUUCCAGGUAAAAAUCUGUGUGUCUCGUGGUUAGAUAUUUUUUAUUCAUUAUUUCUUGCAGUGAUUAUUAUUUUGGUGGACUACAAAUUUAAUCUGUUUGGCAUGUGCUGAUAUUUUAUUCAUCUAAUUUAUCAAAAACAACAAUAUUUGGGAGGUGAUUUUUCCCAACAAUACAGAGUCAUGCAUUAAAUGCUUAUGUAUUGUGCUAAAUUUAUGUUAAAUUAAAAUUAUGAAACUUAUUAAUAUAUAUGAUUAAUAGGAAUUAUAGGAAGGUCUCACUUACAACAUUCUGAAUCUUGCAACAUUUUUCAUAAAUUAUCUUGUCCAAAUAUUCUGAAACUUUCAGGGUAUGUUUUUAUCAUAUACAUGUACUUCCUAUAAAAAGUUCAUAGUUUUUAAAGUUAACCACAAAUAGUUAUUCAAGUUUACUUUUAAAAUAGUAUUUUCUUGUAAAAUCCAUAACUUUCAUUCUACACAUCCAAAAAUAGUCAUAUUUGGACAUGACCUUUAUAACUCAUCAUGUUAUCAUACCAAAUUUUUCCAGAAUUUUUAAAGCACAAAAAGUGGAUGAAACAUCCCUUACAAGAAACUGGCCAGGAAACUUUUCUAUUUUCCAGAUUUUUGUUGUUGUUUGGAUAGUUUUGGGAAAACGCAUGAAACUACUUGCUCGUUUAAUAUUUUUGAGUGUUACCAUUUGAGUUUAACAGAUAACUCACGUACCUAACAUAUCUCUUUUACAGAUCACAAAAACAAGUUGUAGAUUUCAAUUGGUAAAGCCUCAAAUUGGGCUGAUUUCUAUGGUUUUUAUGGUCAAAAAUCAAUUUUUGUGCAUCUUUGGUUUUCAAGCUUUUCAUCACUUAAAAUGGCAAGAUUUAAUCAUGAAGUACCCUAUAACAUGUAGAUCUAGUAUUAUAUGAAUUAAGAUCUUGAACUCAACAUUUAUUUCAAAACAACCACAAGAUAAACAUAGAUCUAGUUAGGUUUUAAGGUUAGUAAACUUUUAAACCUUCAUGGUUCUUCUUCUUCUUCUUCUUCUUCUUCUUCUUCUUCUUAAGUGGUUGAUGGAGCUCUAAGUAAUGAACCAAAGCUACUCUCCUUCUCCUCUCUAAGCCCCAUGGCAGCCCCCUCUUGCUUCUCUCUGUCUUUCUCUCGCUCUCUCUCUUAUUUUGCUUUCUCUAGCUCUUUUAAGAAAUGAGAAGUGUGUAAACUUUUUGUUACAAAUGAGAUGGGGGUAUUUAUAGAUAGUAGAAUGUAUACAUAUAACAUUUAUAUAUAUACAUAUCUCCUAACAUAUCUUCCAUAUUCUCUCUCCGUAUAUCUUUUUAGAUCUUGUAAAAUCUUUCCUUUCUCUUUCCACAUCUUAGCAAAUCUUUAAAUAUAGCAUGUGCUCAAAUCCUUGCAAAUCUUCCAAUAUCUUCCAUUUUUUAUUUUCUUUAAUUACUUUAAUAGCUUAUUUUAGUUUCUAGAAAAAUUCAUUCCAAGUUGGGCCAAGAAUUUAGGUCAACCCAUAUAAUCAUUUGGGCUUUAAUUUAAAUUGUUUGGGCUAUAUAAAUUAGCAUAUUCCCAACUCUUAAAAUUACUUACCCUAAUUAUUUAAUUAUGAUUUUUAAUCCACUCAUUUUGGAUUUUAAAUAAUUACUUACAUAGAUUUAAUCAUGUAACCUAAUUAGGUUUCUUUUAAUUAGGUUAAUAUAAAUAAUCAAUUGAGAUAUGUAAAAAUAAAUCUCUUAAGUUAAUUUACUAGUAUGUAAUUUAAAUACGAGAAAUCUUCAAUAAUUAUAACCAUUAGGUUAAUUAAUUCUUAUACCUAAUAUAUAAAGAUUGGGUUGCAUUAACUUUCUUUUAUUUGUUUAUUAUAUAAUAAACAAAUAUAUAUAUAUAUAUAUAUAUAUAUAUAUAUAUAUAUAUAUAUACAAUCACAGAAGAUUCAUAUUCAUUUAUUUUACAUAUCCACUCUAUAUAUGUCUCAAAAUAAUUUAAUAUGUUGAGACAUAUCCCACAUAAGUCCUAAUGUAUUUAUCCUAAGCAUUCCUCUUGCUAAAAUAUAUAACACAUCACUAAGUAUAUAUAUGUACCUAUACAUAUACACAUUUUCUUUAACCUUAUAACAUCUCUUCAUUUAAAAUUUAUUUCCUUAAUAAAAUUUUCCACAUAUUGUGAGACCCCGAAUUUUAUGAAAUUAAAGUAUUCAAUUUUAUUAUAAUUAUUCUAUUUAGUAAAUGGUUAAAUUGAUAAAAGGUUAAAGUUAAGGGUAUGAAAAUUUCUCAAAGUAAGCAAGUUGUCAUAAAAUAAUCGGUAGUAAAAGUAUAGUAAUACGUGUGGUUGCAUAGUAGCACACAAUACUGAUUAUUGGUGCUUACGUGAGAAGUCACUCAGUUUUAUUCUAUUAUUGUCACAAUAUUUAUAUUAUUAAAUCAAUAAUUGAGACGACAAAGUUAUUCAUAUUAUUAUUUGCAAUAUUGACAAUGUCUAGAAGUUCUGUCAAGGAGAGGUUAGAUAAUCUAAUUACGCGCCAAUAGGGAGAAAUCCUUAUCGGAAACCCCCCUCUUUUCUGGGAACGACCUGAUUGUUAAAUAUUGAGAGUUAUAAUAUUAAUGAUGAAUAAGUUUGUGUUUAUUAAAGAUGAAAUUGAUAGUUCCAUUGUGUAAGAAUUAUUAGUGUUAGUCGAAAUCGACAUCUAUUUUGAUAAUAAUUGAUGUCUGGAGGUUAUAUUGAUCAAUCGGGUAAUUAAGCGGAUAAAUGAGCAAUUAAUUGCUAUUGAUUCACAUGAUUAUAACUAUUUGUUCACAUGUGUGUACUAUUGAUUCACAUUCAUUUACUAUUAGGGGAGUUGGUGCAAGAUUGAUAAUACUUGCAUGACUAAGUUAAAAAUGGAGGUACUAUACUGUAAUUCGUAUUUUUACAUGUCUAGAACUAUUGAGUCACAUGAUUUACUAUUAGGGGAGGUGGUGCAAGUUUGAUAAUACUUGCAUGACUAAAUUAAAUGAAGAAAAAGAGGAAGGUAUUAUACUGUAAUAUUUUGAUCCCCAAAACGUGCAAUUAUCAAAACUAUAUUUUCCUAUAAAUAGAAGUUCAUUAUUCCUUCAUUUUUCUCACCAAUUCACUAAAGCUAUAGAGCAAUUAUUAUAGAGAGAAAUUAUAGAGAUAGAAGCUAUAGAGAAAAAGAAGAAGAGAAGUCUGCUACUUCACUAUUCCAGUAUCCAGUCUUCUUCCAAGGUAAGGGGUAUUAUUUAUUUCAUAUUCUGAAGAGAUAUUAUUUUUCGUAUUCGUAUGAAUAUUAUAUUCGUCAAUAUUCGUAAGAAAUAUCAUCUUCGUUCAAUAUUCGUAGGAAUAUUAUUUUCAUUCAACAGUCGUAAGUGAUAUUAUUUCUUCGUAAAUGAUAUUAUUUCUUUCAAUAUCAUAAUGCCGGAAUAUUGGUACGAAUUUUACUGUAGAAUUUCUACCUUUUUGUGUCGGGGUUACUAUUCUCUCUGGUAUUAUUCACUCAGGUAUUCGAGACACUUUUCAUGCCAGACUACUAUUCACGAGUUACUAUACACGGGUUACUAUUCACCCGAUUACUAUUCACUUUAGUAUUAUUCACUCGAGUAUUCAGGGUACUUUUCGUGCCGGAGUACUAUUCACCCAGUUACUAUUCACUCUAGUAUUAUUCACUCGGGUAUUUGAGACACUUUUUAUGCUGGGGUACUAUUAACGAGGUACUAUUUCCGAAGUACUAUUCACAGGGUACUAUUUACGGAGUACUAUUCACCCGAAAAAUAUAUUUCUUUUCUGUCCAAAUUAUUUUUGGUACAUGAAUAUUAUUUUUGAAUUUUACUCCACAAAGCAGUAUCAUGUUAACAAUUUAGAUAUUUUUAAACUCUAGAUAAAUUUAAAGUCUUUAAUAUUUAUACUUAAUUUCGUUUGAUUAAUGCUUAUAUCAUUGUCAACAUCCUCAUGCUUAUAUUGUGAUGAAAGUCAUCUUUGACUUAUAUGCAUAGAUGGACUGUUGAUUAUUGGUUUUACAGUUGUAUAUUUUUGGCUUACGUGCAUAGAUGGACUGUUGAUUAUUGGUUUUAUAGUUGUAUAUCUUUGGCUUACGUGCAAAGACGAACUGUUGAUUAUUGGUUUUAUAGUUGUAUAUCUUGGGAUUACGUGCAAAGAUGGACAGUUGUAUGACAUGAUCAUAACCACUGAUGAUAAUAACGAAUAUCCUUGGCCCGUAGUGCAUGGAUAAUUCGAUGAUGUGAUUGGCAGGAUCAUGACCAUUAGUUAACAAUUGAAUGUCUUUGGUCGUAAUGCACUGACAGACAAUUGAUUGGUAUGAUCAUGACCAUUGGUUUUGUAGUUGAAUAUCUUUGGCCUGUAGUGCAAAGGUAGACAACUGAUUGGUAUGAUCAUGACCAUUGGUUUUGUAGUUGAAUAUCUUUGGCCUGUAGUGCAAAGGUAGACAACUGAUUGGUAUGAUCAUUGUUAUUACAUUUAAAUAUCUUUAGCCUUUGGGAUAAGGAUAUUGAGUAAACGUUCUAUUAAGCCUUUGUGUCAAGGAGAAACUGUUGAAUUACAUGAUUAUAAAUAUGAAUUAUGGAAUUAACUAUAAUCUUUGGUGGUUCAGGUGAAGACAGGUGAUGAGAGUUCUUUUUGUCUUGGGUAUAACAAAGAACUGUUGAUGGGUAUUACAGCGAUAAAAUUGAUUAUAAACUUUUUAAUCUAGAAGAGAUAGUAGACAUUAUGUUCUACUUGACUCUUCUAAUGGAUUGCUUAUUCCGCUGCAGUUAAACUUGAUGUUUAUUGUAUUUUAUUAGUUUAACACUGUUGAAGGCUAAGGAUAAUUUAUUUUUCAGUAUCUUAGUCAUAAUAUUUCUUACUGGGCUAGUUGAGCUCACCCUUUUCUUUCAUUGUUCUCUUCAGGAAAUGAGAAUAUAGCUGGGACGAGUCAAAAAAUGGAGUGAUGGUCCGAGAUAGUUGUUUUAGCAGUCCUCACUACUUAGUGUGAUAAUAAGUGUAAUGAGGAUUGAAUUUGAGUUUGUAUAUUGUCUAUGAGACAAUAUUCAUGUUUAAACUCAUCUAUGUUUUGUCGUAUUGUACACGAUAGUUGUAUAAUUAAGUUUGUAGUUGAGUUCUGUUCCAUGUAUCUGGCGACCCAAGAUGGGUGAUAUAUACCUGUUUUGGGGGCGUCACACAUACAGUCUCUUUCUUUCUUUUCAAAAUUUCUAUCAUUCUCAUUUAAUUUCUUUACAUUGCUUAAAAAUUUAAAUCAAACCAUAUAGGUUCUUAAAUUUUUUUAAUUAAUCCUCUAAUUCCCAUAUAGGUUUUAUUCUUUAACCUUUAUUUUAAUCAUUCAAGAUCUUAUGAAUUUUCGGGUUGUCACAUUCUCCCACUUUCCAUCAUUUCCAUUUUCCUCUCCCAUCUCCACGUUCCUCUCUCUCUCUCUUUUUAGGCUUACGUUUUUAAAUUUUAAAUUUUUUUUAUUAUAAAGCCUCCAAAUUUAGUAAUAUUUUUUUUUUGUAAUUGUAUCACACCAUAUUUUUAAAAUUUAACCUCUCAUGUUCUACCUAUUUAUUUCCUAUCCAAAUAGUAUUUCCCUAAUUUUUGACUUCUUUUUAUCUUUAAUUCCUUUUAGACUUUUUUCAGCAGCCCGAUGCUUACUUCCAUUCGAUUCACCCUCGAAGAGACAAGGAGAGUAUGUCAAUAUGCCAAGGUAGAAAUAUUCUUUUUGUUUUGCUUGGAAAGAAAUGAAACCCAAGCACCUUUUCUUUUUUAUGGGAACUCUAAUCUCAAGCCUCUAAAACUCCGAAGUUAUAAAUUGGAUGUAUGUAACCUUGAAAAAGGAUUUAUUUUUAUUUUGAAACUGUUAUAUAUCAAUCAAAGAUCCUAUGCCUGAGAUUAAUAAUGGCAAAAGUUCUUCCAAGUCCACAUUCUCUAUGGGAUCAUGCAUGUUAGGAUAUCACAAGUAUGUUGGUGUCUCAUAUCAGAUAAAUAAUGAAACUGUGAAGAAUUAAUAUACAUGAAUGGGCCCAAGACUUAAGGGCUUAAGCUUUUGGGUCAAGUUGAGUUUUAAACAUAUAUGUUAGUACCUUGUCUACGUGCACAUAACGCGCAGGCUCCCCAGUUCUCCCCAACAACUGGUAUCAAAGCUACAGAAGAUUGAUCUCGGGCUAGUGGAUCUCUUCAAAAGAAAUACACGAUGGUGAUCCGAAAAUUACCAAAAAUUAAUUUCGGACACAACAUCUUCAAAACACGCGAUGGUGGUGAAUUUUGAUGAAGGGUUGGUGUUUUCCCUUUGGAUGCUCCCGAUGGUGAUGUUGAAUUCUCGAUGGAUUUGGCCGAGAAUUGGUUCCUAUUGGUGAUCCGCGGUGAUUGAAGAAUAGAAAUUCAAUUCUUAAUGGAAGUUGACUCUCGGUGGAGAAAAAGGAACCCAGAAUAGUUAGCCAAGAAUUGGUGUGCAGUGAUUAAAGAGAAGGUGUUCAAAUGAGGGGGAGCUCUUGAUGUUAUGAACUUACUUGCGAGGGGGAGAUUGUUAGGAUAUCACAAGUGAUUUAAAGUCUCACAUUGAAUAAAUAAUGAAAACGUCAAGGAUUAAUAUACAUGAAUGGGCUCAUGACCUAAUGGCUUAAGCUUUUUGGGCGAAUUGGGUUUCGAACAUGUAUAUUAGUGCUUUGUGUAUGCGCACGCGACGCGCGAGCUCCCUUGUUCUCCCCCAAUUUUACGAUCCAUCUCAUAUCAAUUCAUCACCAAUACAGCACAUAUCUGUGUAAACUAGCCAACAAGCAUGUUGGAUCAUCACCUCCUUACCUAAAAGAUUAACAUAUUAGGUUAACGGUUCUACCAUACUUAUUAACUCAUCUACACUCUUGAAUUUAUGCGAUUUGGGAGUCAUGUGAAAUUUUUCGACAAUCUCUACCCUUCACUUGACACAUUACAAGUAUCAUAUUAGAAUAGUCACUAUUGAGCACACUUACUUUGAGUCCUUCAAGAGCCCUUGCUCGAAUCUAAUAUUACUCCACCACAUCAGUCAUAAAACAUAGGAGUAUAACAUUACUCCUUGUGAAACCUUCACCAUGAGCAUCUUCUUAAAGUCAUAAUGAGUCCACUCCAUUCAACUCAAAUCAUAUUUUACCGUGUAGUGGCGAACGCAGAAGUAAUCCAUUGUGCUCCUGUAAUAUAUUGAAUUUUCAAAUUCAUAUUAAACUAAAUUUUUAUUAAAUAAAUUUUUAUUCUUGAUAUUAUUUAUUUUGCAUAUGUAUGUAUGUGUGCAAUGAGGAAUGAAUUUGUGGUAAUAGUAAAUAUAUAUAUAUAUAUAUAUAUAUAUAUAUAUAUAUAUAUAUAUAUUUACUAUUAUGAAUAAAUUGUUUUGAAACAAUUUAUGGAAGGAAGGAAGAAAUUUAUUAUACAUAAUAUAAUUUUGUUAAGCUACUAAAAUAGCCAAUGGAAUAAAUAUUAGUUAUUCCAACUAAUUGAUUUACAACAUAGAAAGUGUUAACUUUAUUAUGGAUGAAUUCCAUAGUGGAGGGAUUUUUAUACAUGAUUAUAAAUGUAUAAUAUUCAAUUUUGGGUUAAUAAUUGGAGUGCAUGCUAUUAUAAUAUAUGAAUUAAAAUUGUGAGAAUAAUGUAAUGUUAUAUAAAUAUGUAUUAUAUAUAUACAUAUAAGUAAUAAGGAUAUAAGUAAUAUAUACAUAAUCAAGCAUGUUGGGAAUUAAAAGAGAAUGUGCUGAGUCAUUAGUUAGAAAGCAUGAGCUGGAGACUUGCUAUGCUAUCAAAGGUACUCCUCCAUUCCUUGCCUUUCAUCCGGCCCAAAAAGAAAGAAAAAGUUCCCUUACCCUUCCAUCCGUUCUAAAAAGAAAGAGAGGAAAAAAAUUUAUUCUCUCAUCUCCUCCAUUUCAAAAUCAAUUCCAAGCAUACAAGAAGAAACUUGAUGCCGGGCGGGAUAGCGAUUAUCCUGCGGGCAGAUAAACAAAUGAAUUCACAGGUAAAGAAACAAGAGAUUCACCGAAAAUACAGAGAAAUCUCUCUCUAACGUGUAUAAUAUAUUUAUAAAAUCAAAGUCUCUCCAAUUCAACCCACAAGCUGGGUAUUUAUAUAGAUAACAAAAUUUUUUCUCCAAGUCAGUCUAGAAUCUUCCUAGAGAUAGGGAAAUAAGAAAUAGAAAUAAAAUCCUCCUAGGGAUGUGAAAAAAAUUCUAACAAACUUUCUAGAGAUACGGAAAUAUAUAUCCUAACAAAAAUAACAACUUAUUAUAAAAGAUUUACUGCCUAAUAAAAUACUAUUACUAUAAAGAACUAAAUAAUAAUAAUAAUAAUAAUAAUAAUAAUAAUAAUAAUAAGGUCCAUCGACUUCUGAAGUUAUGACGCCUCUUCGGAAGAAGUUCGUCACACCCGAAGUCAUGACGCUAUCCGAAGCCAAAAUCAUGACACCAUUCGAAGCCGAACCCCGACCCCGAAGACAUAGACCGAACGUUUUGACCCCGAAGUCAACCGAUACCUUGGCGCCGAUCCCUUAACUUUUGGUCCUUUAGUAUCGUCAUCGUCCUUCCCAACCUUCCAGGAUCUUCAGCACGAAACCAUCCUGCAUCAGUCUCUCCGUGUUGGAAAGAACUCGUCCUUGAGUUCGACACAGAUAGAGUGGAAACUGUACAAGAAGAUACUUCGACAACUGAAAUAUUGUCCUUUUGAUUCGAUCCUGGGACAAGAUAUAUCUACUGUUGAAUGUCCCUCAUCGCCGAUAGUCCUGAUGGAAGCUCUUCAGGUAAUUCAUGUACAUCGGCUGACACUCCAGUGCUUUCAGCUGUCGAACCGCUCCCACAAGAAAGUAGGACAUACACCACACCUUCACGAUCGACCUCUGUUAGGAAUCUAGUCAUGGAUAAUAGGUUCGGACUCCCAACUGCUCGAGCCGAACUGUCCCCUUCUCGCCGAGGUGCUAGUACAACCUUAUUUCCUUUAAAAUGAAGGGAAUACGUGUUCUUUCGACCAUCAUGAAUGACUCUUCGGUCAUAUUGCCAAGGUCAACCCAACAACACAUGACAUGCAUCCAUUGGCACCACAUCACACAAAGCUUUAUCAAAAUAUUUAUUGCCGAUGGAGAAAGAUACUAAGCACUUUUUAUCCACUCUUACUUCAUUACCUUUUUUAAACCACGACAACUUAUAUGGUUUAGGAUGCCGAUCCAUUUUCAACUGCAAUUUCUUGACAGCCUCUUCGGACACUAUGUUCUCACAACUGCUACCGUCAAUGAUUAACUUGCAGACUUUAUUUUCUAUGGUGCAAGUUAUUUGAAAGAUAUUGGUUCUCAACCAAUCCUCUUCGGAAUCACCUUUAUGAUUUGGUAGACUCUUGCGAACGAUCAGGGUCUCCUAGCUAUCUUCAAACGAUCCAUUCUCCUCUUCGUCGCCAUCAUCAUAAUAAUCAUACUCAGGUUCUCCAUAAGGUUCUCCUUCAUCUUCAUAUUCGUCAUAGAUUUCUUCUUCAUCUGCAUAUUCGUCAUAUACAGGUUCUCCAUAUUCCUCUACUUCUUCCUCAACCAACUGUUCAUCAUCAAAAUCGGAAUUAAAAUAAAAUCCCCCAUCACUAUCAAGGUGCGAGAAAUAUUCAGGGACUUCCUCGGUCGGAUACUGUCCAUGAAAAUAAUACUCUUCCUUGUCAUAAUCAAGGCGUGGGAAAUACUCCGGGACUUCCUCGAUCGGAUACUGUCCAUGAAAAAUAAUAUCCUUCCUUGUCAUAACUCGAUUCAGAAUCAUAAGAUUCUUCAUCGUGUUUAAGGUGUGGGACUUCCUCAGCCGGAAACUGUCCAUGAUAGUGAUCAAGGUGCAGGACUUCCUCUUUCAGAACCUGUCCACGUCGACCCCGAGUUAGCGCUUUAAGACACCUGGUUAACUCUGUAACCUAUCUCUGUAAAUCCUCAAUCAUCGCAUCUUGAAUGUUACGAUCCUGGUCCGGGUCUUCCUUAGCCGAAAUCUGCCCUCGAUGACCACAAUCAUGACUAUCAACCAUUAAAAUCGAUGAGUCUAUAAUUCCCAGAAAGAUGUUUGAGCUUUGAUACCAACUGGUGUCGGGCGGGAAAACGAUUAUCCUGUGGGCUGGUAAACAAAUGAAUUCACAGGUAAAGGAACAAGAGGUUCACCGGAAAACACAGAGAAAUCUCUCUCUAACGUGUAUAAUAUAUUUAUAAAAUCAAAGUCUCUCCAAUUCAACCCACAAGCUGGGUAUUUAUAUAGAUAACAAAACUUUCUGUCCAAGUCAGUCUAGAAUCUUCCUAGAAAUAGGGAAAUAAGAAAUAGAAAUAAAAUCCUCCUAGGGAUGUGAAAAAGAUUCUAACAAACUUUCUAGAGAUACGAAAAUAUAUAUCCUAACAAAAAUAACAACUUAUUAUAAAAGAUUUACUGCCUAAUAAAAUACUAUUACUAUAAAGAACUAAUAAUAAUAAUAAUAAUAAUAAUAAGGUCCAUUGACUUCUGAAGUUAUGAUGCCUCUUCAGAAGAAGUUUGUAACACCCGAAGUCAUGACGCUAUCCGAAGCCGAAGUCAUGACACCAUUCGAAGCCGAACCCCGACCCCGAAGACAUAGACCGAACGUUCUAACCCCGAAGUCAACCGAUACCUUGGCGCCAAUCCCUUAACUUUUGGUCCUUUAGCAUCGUCAUCGUCCUUCCCAACCUUCCAGGAUCUUCGGCACGAAACCAUCAUGCAUCAAAACUAGAGUUAACAAUUGAAUUGACAUGAAAUUAGCAGCCAAUUGCAGCAAGAGGAAUACUAUCACAGCCAUCAUCAAACUAGAAAUUUCAUGUGUUAAGGUAUAUUGCACUUCCUUAGUUAAAUUCAUGGAAAAUUAGUUAAUUAUUCAUUGUUGUUGCUAUGUUUGGUUGUGGGAGGUAAAUUAAAUGGAGAAUCAGACGGAUUCAGGAGUAAUAAGGAAGGAGAUUAUAGCUUAAUGUAUAUGCAAAGUCCUAUGAAAUCUGUCCCAAAUUUUAUCGCACAUAGGGUGUUUGUGAAAAUUCCUAUUACGGACUGUUUUGCUUAAAUAUUGAAAUCUAGUAGAGUUGGGGCUAAGAAUUUUUAUAAGCAUGUUAUAUCAAGUAAAUGAAAUGGUUUUUGUAGGUUUAAAUAGGGUAGAAAUCGAUUUUGGAAUGAAAGUCAUUUUCUUGCUCGGUUUAAAAAUUGUCUCAGUAGAGCAUUUUGAGGACUUUGUUAGAUUGGCCUAUAAUAUCCGAAAUUGGAUGAGUUAUAUUUUAUUAAAAAUACCUUGUCAUGCCCUUUACAACAUAUUAAAAUUUCAUUUCAAUCGGAUGUAUAGAUUACAAGUUACAAAAUCCCAAAGCGAGACAGAAAAGAAUUGUGGCUACAGAUUUUGGGCAGGACUCGGCACUGCAGCGCUGGCUACCAGGCUGCAACGCCUAGUCCGUUUUGGUUCCAGUUUGGGUUCAUGUUGGUUUAAAAAAACAACUAUGCUUCCCAUUAUCCCCUUAAAGGAAUGGCCACUUAAUUUGGACAUUUCCAUAAAAAGAAGGUUUCUUAAAUUGGGACAAAGGUGCAAAAAAAAAAAGUAAUCUCUUCGUCCUAAUAUACAGGAUCAAUUUUGACUUUACAUUAUAUCAUAGAAGGAUUUAUUGUAACUUGUAAGUUAAAGUUAUUACUUAAAGGUUAAAAAGUAAAUAGUUGUUUCACUGAGAUAUGGCAUGAGAUAUAUAUAUAUAUAUAUAUAUAUAUAUAUAUAUAUAUAUAUAUAUAUAUAUAUAUAUAUAUAUAUAUACACACACACACACACACACACACACACAUAAAAGAGGGAGGAGAAUGGAACUUCAAGAAUACAAGAGAAAAAAAAAGAAAGGAAAGAAAACAAGUAAUGAAAAACUAUAAGAAAAUUUUCAAUUGAUCGUUACACUUAAUUUUAACAGUUUACUUGGUAUUAGAUUUAGGUUUAUUCAGUUAUAAGAUAUCCUAUCUUAUUUUCUCAUUUCAUAUUUCUUGCCUUUCCGUAACUAUAUUAUAGUUAGAUGCUUCUGUAAUAAGGAGAAUAAAAGUCCACAGAACUAGCAAAGGCUCUGGUCUUGGUUUUCAGAAAAUUAAGAAUUUGUAGUAGCAGCCACGCGCUGUGCUGUUGCGAACAUCUCAACUGGGCUGUUUUGGCCCUCUAUAAACCUUCCUAGAAUGCCUGAAUUCGCUAAGCUAUAUUUUUUUUAAAAUACUACGAUAUACCCUCUAUAACAUGCUAAAGUUUGGUUUCUAUUGGACUUGUGGUUUGCAAACUAGAAAAUAGAAAAAAAGGGGCAAGAAAGCAUGGAUGGAAGUAGUGAAUGACCUGUUUUGGCUGCUGUGGCUGAACUGUUUUGGCCAUUGGGGCUGUUUUGAUCAUAAUGCUAGAUGAGUAUAGGAAAAAGGGGUUUUGUUUGAAGACAUUGGUGUAAAAAGCCUCAUUUGUUCAUGAGGCUGCCCUCUAAAUUUUUCAUUGGACUGUUAUCCAGAUGAAAGUUGUAAAGAAGGAACUGGAGUGAUUAAGAACAAAGUGGAACAAUAGGAAGCCCAUAUUACAUUAUAUGCACUGUCAGGACAUAGUGCCAAUAAUACCAUAAGGAUUUUGGGCAUGACAAAUGAUGAUAAAAUCCCAAAUAAUAUUAAUAAAUAGUGGGACUACUAACAAUUUCGAGUAAUGUAUUAGGAUAUUGACUGUGUUACUCGGACUCGUCAUUUUUGGUGGAGUACCCGUGUCGACACGACACGACACUAGUACGGGUGCGGGAUUCGUACGGGAUCCGACCAUAAAAAUCCAGAUACGGCUAUUUUGGAAGAAGAAGAAGAGACGCGAGAGGAGGAAGAAGAAGAGUUGCUUGAGAGGAAGAAGAAGAAGAAAGUAAGAGACGAGUAAGAUCUGAGAUGAGGAAGAAGAAGAAGAGUCGCGCGAGAGGAGGAAGAAAAAGAGAGUAAGAGACGAUUUGAUCUCUGAGAUCCCUGGAAAAUUACAGUUAGGUACCUCGUAGUUUUUACAAUUUUUUAAUUUAGUCCCCCAGGUUUUAUGAAAGUUCAAAAUAGCCCCUUGAAAAAUUACAUAUCAGUCCCUGUAGUUUUGUUUUGUUUUUCAUUUUAGCCCCUGAAGUUUCAGUUUUGCCCCUGUUUCUUUAUAUUUUAACACUUCAGUCCCUAGAGCAAAAAAAAACUUGGUGAUACAAUUAGAAACAUUAUUGUUAAAAAAUUAUAACAUAUCGUAUCCCCGCACCCGUGUCCAAAUUCGGAUCCAUAUCCACGUAUCUUCUAUUUUUUAACUUCACGUGUCCGACACCUAGAUUCGUACCCGCACCCGACGAUAUUAAAACUAGUACAGUAUAUUUCUAAAAACAAAAUUAUAAAAAAAGUUAUAGUUAUAAUCAAAUUGUGAAUUAUAAUUGGAAGUCAUAAUCAUGUUAACUAAAUGAAUUACGAAGCUUGAAAAAUACAAAGUUAAAUUAAAAGUACAAGAGAUAUAAGCGUAUUAACUUAUAUAACAAAUAUAUUAUAUAACAACCAUGUUAUAUAGGUGUGAUACGAGAUAGAAUUGCUUCGAGUACACGAGAUUAAAUAAAUGCAAGGAACGGUUGAUUAGCAUUUCGUGAUUUCAAACCAAGGCAAGUCUUCCAGUUUCUUUGUGAUUUUAUGAAUUAGUUAUUGCAUGAGAUUUUCAAGAACAUGUUAAAUUACAUGUUACAUGCUAUAAACUGUGAAAGUCAAUAUAUGACUAAGCUGAUUGAGUUAUGGAACUCAAUAUAUAUGUGAUAUAUGAUAUGGGCAUAUACUGUUUAAGAUGAUGAUGCAUGAAUGGUAUAAAGAAUUAUGAGAUAUAUGUUGAGCAUGAGACUACGUGUUAUAUGAAGCAUGAAAACUGUUAGAUUUACUAGGCUGUCGAGCUUAGUUUUGCAAAAAUGUAAUUUUUACAGGUAUGAUAUGCAACACGAUUUCUUGUUAUCUGGAUGAUAAAGAAUAGAGGCCUACAUGCAGGAAAGUUAUUUCCUUUUAAGUAAGAAUUAUAUUAUAUCGAAAUGACUAUUUUUGAUGUGUAAAUGAGAAUUGUGUAAAUAUUCAGUUAUUCGGUAAACGAAAAAAUGUUUGUGUUAAUUAAGAUUAUAAUACAGUUUGGCAAUUACCUUAAAAGUAAUGUUUUAUAGGAAUGAUUCUGUAUAAGACAGGAUAUGAGUUAAGAAAUGAGUUAGAUAUACUUAUAUCACUCUGAUAAACUAAAUCAUAAGAAUGAAUAUGAUUUUGAGAUAAAAGAGAAUCGUAAAGGUUGCAAUUCAGGGAACGAAUGAAAGACAGAAAUAAAAGUUUUAAAUUAUUCUUUAUUUUUAGCUAUUUUAACAUUGAAUAAUGUUUUAAAGCUAGAAAAGAUAAUAUUAACGCACAAGAUUGAGAAGGGAAAUAGUCCCGAUUUUGGGGUCGUCACAGCUCCACCUGACUCAACUAUAUUUGCUUCGCUACGCAGACUAAGUAAUACACGGCCAACCUGAUAGUUGGGCCUAUCAAACCAUGGGCUCUGAUACCACUUGUAGUGCAAUUUUACGAUCCAUCACACAUCAAUUCAUCACCAAUGCAGUGUAUACUUGUGUAAAUUAGCCUAACAAGCAUGUUGGAUCACCUUGUUACAUAAAAUGUUAAUCUAUCAGGUUGAGGCUCCAUCAUACUUAUUAACUCAUCUACACUCUUGAAUUUAUGUGAUGUGAGAUUCAUGUGAAACAUCUCAACAUAUCAUUCCAUAUAGCUAUAAUAAGAGGUGAAAUUCAAUAUUAACUCUCUAAAAAAAUUACAAGUAACAUUGGUAACUUCUCUAUCCACUAUUAUCAAUCUUUUUAUCAAACUUCCCUUUCUCUCUCCACUCCUCUAAAAUCUCAUCUUUGUAUAAAAAAUAAUUUUCUAUCUGCACUACUCUCACUUCAUAUGAGUCUUUAUGAUCUCAUGGUUCUAUGUUCAUCUCAAACUCACAUCUUCUUCUCCUGUUUUGGUUUUCAAAUUAUUCACAUUACUUUUUAUUUCAAUUAUUGAAACACCUCAAGUAUUAUGGGAUUGAAUCCUUAUGCAGUACAAUUAGUAAAUGGCAAGUUUAAGUGUUCUUCUAAAAUUUGUUUGUGUUGCUAUUGUUGUUAAUAUUUUUUUCUUUUCAAAUAUAAUGUUUAUAGUAUUUCGUAUUUUUUUCCUCUUCCUCCAUUUAUCUUUCACUACAAACAAAGUAGAGUCGUUUUACACACGACAAGAAAAUGGCACAGCAGCGACCAGUAAGAUCUGUGAUUGCAGUUUUCGAUCGCUAAUUCCAUUAAUAGCUACCGCUAGUAGCAACCAUACUCAGAAGUAAUCACUAUUUCAAUUAGCGACAUCGCUCCAGUCGCUGAUCGGUCGCUAUUUGAAUUUUGCAGCUUUAAAUUUGGUGCAAAUGUUGGCGAGGGAAAACUUUUUGCAACCGAUACAAUUAAAAACAGCGACUGCAUGCGGUCGCAGAAAGCGAUCGCUAAUCCUUUUAAUAUCUAAUAGACUCCACGGCACGCUUGCCUGAGGUGGUCGUCUCCCGGAUCGUUUCUAGCAAAGUUGUAGGAUGAAUUGCUCUCAAUACCUUAACCCCUCGCCUAUAUAUAGAUGAUAAUCUCGGGUACAAUUGAUCCUGUUAGAAAUUCUGUGUUGAAUGGACACCAACGACACCUUGACCCCUCGCUUAUAUUGAAGCGGUAAUCUUGAUACAAUAUACGAUUGAUGCGAUAGAAGACGCCACACACAACUAUGUAUUGUUGUAUGAUAAGUCAAUAUUGAACCUCACAGAAAAACCAUGAACAGUUUGAGAGUUCUCAAAGAACCGAAGGUGAAUAAUUUCACCAAAAUUUUAUUUAUAAGUCUCCCUAAUACAUCAGCUAUGUAUUCUAUUUAUACUAAUAAAAUAACCCUAAUUCUAUAAGGAAUACGAAUUUGAAUGGAAAUAGAAAUUCUAGCUAACAAAUCACAUGGAAAUCAAAUAAUAUCCAAACGUAACAUAAUUACGAUAGUAAUCUAAAAAUAUUAUGAAAAUAUACUAAUUUACAAGGAAAUCUGCGUCCAAAUCUGUCAAAACGCGUCAACUAAAUCAACAGAAAAGCGACCAACUCGUCGGGGCGAGCUCUCAGUUUUUAGUGUAUCCAUUUUCUUUUACUUCAUGGGUUAGCACGCUCACUUGUAUCCUCCUAAUCACGAACUUAGAAGUCAACUAAAUAGCCGUGUAACAUGAACCCAAUUCGUUUGUUCCAUGCAUUCCAACCUCGUGUUGUCGUGUGAUAGAUUGUAUGCUCCCAUCCAUGCUUCAAUAUUCAAAACGUCAGACAUAAGCUUGUAAUCUUCCCAUGAACUGGAACAUAACCUUGAUGCAUAUUAGACGGCACAAACGAACAGUCUUGAUGACUUAACUUGAGCUCCAAUGAAAGCAUCAUUGAGUAGAUUUUAGCCCAAUCACCGAUGAUCAUUUGUUGAACCCUCGGUACUUGAGUUGGGUCGUAGUUGUUUGAUGUGAGCUUGGUCAAGAUUGUAUCAUUCCCCUCCUCUUGAAAAGGAUUUGUCCUCAAAUCUGGCAUCCUCUCCCUUUGAAAAUGACUUAUCAACAAAACUGACCCUACAUAAAAAUAAAUUGAGUUAGUAACAUCAAACAAAUCAUAAUCCAAAUUCUCAACUUGCAAAUGAAUUAUACAAACAAAAUCAACAAUGCAAGUAAGAAUAUGAAAACAAUCAUCAAAAAACUUCCACUCUCGCUAAGAACACAACAACAUUCGGCAUUUUCCGUGCAUAGACAAGAACAACUUGUAAAUGCAUGUUUCGCUCCAAGUGAUGCUCGAAAUAACAUAUAUAACACCUUGCAACUGUCUCGUAUAACCUGAAAACUUAAACAUUCGAUCUCCCUUAAUCAAGAACAUGUUCACAAAAUUAGGACGCUCUUACAUUUGAAGACCAAAUACUUCCAAAACACUAACUACAUCAAAACAAACUAAAUUAGUAUCUAAAACUAAAAUGCAAUCAAUACUACUACUAACUAAAACAAAUGCAUAUAUAGUAAUUCCUGGAUCAAAUAUCAGUAUGAAGAACUCUUCUUGAUGUAGAUUCUUUCGAAUGAUGAAUUCCCAGAUCAAACGUCAAUAUGAUGAUCUCGUUCAUCCGCAUAAACACAUCUUCAAUGCACCUGAGUUAAAUAUCAAUAUUUAAAAGUUCUCACGCCGCAUAUGCAAAAAAACUUGUAUUCCUAGAUUAAACACAAAAAAAAAAAAAUCAACAUGUCUCUUUUCCGUAAUUAAGGAAAACUCAUGAAACUCAAAUUCAUAUGCAUAGUCUACUAGAAAAAAAUCAAAACACUUCCUUGUAGACUCUCAAUGCAUUGUCUCGAAUUGAUUGCAGAACAAACCAUGUCACUCUCCUCGAUGAGUAUGAUCCCAUCCCGACCCUGUACAAUAAAAUCAACCUUUCUCUUUCCAUUGAUAUUCAAGAUGAAAACUCAAGGCGUUCAACUUUGGAAGACGAUAAGAGGGUAUAUUUACCUCUUUAUAUAUGCAUGUAUAUAUNNNNNNNNNNNNNNNNNNNNNNNNNNNNNNNNNNNNNNNNNNNNNNNNNNNNNNNNNNNNNNNNNNNNNNNNNNNNNNNNNNNNNNNNNNNNNNNNNNNNNNNNNNNNNNNNNNNNNNNNNNNNNNNNNNNNNNNNNNNNNNNNNNNNNNNNNNNNNNNNNNNNNNNNNNNNNNNNNNNNNNNNNNNNNNNNNNNNNNNNNNNNNNNNNNNNNNNNNNNNNNNNNNNNNNNNNNNNNNNNNNNNNNNNNNNNNNNNNNNNNNNNNNNNNNNNNNNNNNNNNNNNNNNNNNNNNNNNNNNNNNNNNNNNNNNNNNNNNNNNNNNNNNNNNNNNNNNNNNNNNNNNNNNNNNNNNNNNNNNNNNNNNNNNNNNNNNNNNNNNNNNNNNNNNNNNNNNNNCUUUAUAUAUAUAUAUAUAUAUAUAUAUAUAUAUAUAUAUAUAUAUAUAUAUAUAUAUAAAUGUAUAUACUUUUCUGGAAAAAUUAAAGUUUGUGGCUUUAAUGAAAUUUGAUACAAUAUAGUGUUUAUAAUUUUUUAACAUGUUUCUGUAUGAUUAUUAAAGUUUGUGGCUUUAAUGAAAUUUGAUACAAUAUAAUGUUUAUAAUUUUUUAUCUGUUAUCAGUAUGGUAUAUGUCAAUGAUGAAGGAAACACAAACAAAUUUGCCAAGCCCGAAAUUGCAAAAUCCGAUGAGGAAUUGGUUCAGAUGUUUCAUGUGUUUCAAACAAUUUAUCGAUUUUUCCCCUCUAGUUUGGUUAAUUUAUUGUUUGAGUUGCAUUUAAUUAAUUAUUUUGGAAUAGUGUCAUUGUUUAAGUGAAGAACAAGCACAUGUUUAACUCUUGUUUCUUCUCCUCCCAUCAAGUCCUUAUGGCAAAUUGAAAAUUGUUGUCUUGUUUCUCAAUGUGGACGGAAAUAAAUACUUAUUAUUCAAUGUGGAAGGGUAAUAAAACAAUUGGAAAAUAAUCAAAUUCCUUUUUUUAAUCAUGUUUGAAUCUGAUUGUAUAGACUGAGAAACCAUCUUUGGGAGGACUCAAUGACACACAUGGUCGAGGAUGUUUUUUUUUUUUUGAUUAUAUAUCGUGUUUCUUACUUUCAGAAUAUAUAUCCUUGGUCAGAUAAUUAGUUCUAGUUAUUGUAUAUGGACUAGACGUUAGGUUUGUAGGGAUCUAAAUUAAGUACUUGCAGAAUGUUGUAUUAAAUAUUCAUAAUUAAUCUAUUGAUGUUGAUUAAAUAUGUUACUGGUGUGAUCAUUCAUUCAUUCUCUAGGUUUUUUCCUCUAAUCUAUUUUUAGUUGAUAUACAUAGAAAAACACUAAUACCCUUGUGAAGAACAGAACUAAAGUAAAAGUGAAUAACAUAUAUAGUUAAAAAGUUGCUCAAAUCAUUGCAAUUAAAUUAGGAAUAUUUUUAGCCACAAACAAAAAGUUUAAAAGUCGGUUAAUAAAUUAUAAGUGUUAGAUCUUUUCUGCUUACUAACCAUAUAUUAUCAGGUAUCUCACAACCUAAAGAUUUCAUAAUCUUAAUAAAUUAAAUUUGACAUUGUUUAUCGUAGUUAAUUGUAAAUUAGGUCAUAAUUGCAAUAUAAUAUGAUCCAAAAUAUUAUAUUGACCAUAUAUUACGUACAUGUUGUAGAUUGCCAAAUUAAUCAGAAAUUCUUCCAAAAUAUUAUGGCAUAAUUGUAAUAUAAUAGGAUUCAAAAUAUUAUAUUUCCCAUACAUUACGUACUUGUUGUAGAUUGGCAAAUCAAUCAGAAAUUCUUCCAGUUCUCCAUCUAGACCGAUAUAAUAUUGUGGGCAAGGAAAUCGUACCUUGCUAGGGUUAGGGUUUCGUGUUGGCUGAGGAGGAGAGAAAUCCACUAAGAAUACGGAAUUGAUUGAUUGAUUGAAGAGGAGAGAAGAACAGGUGAGCGAUUACUCCAACAACACGUGACAUAACUCUUAAAAUCUGAGAACCUUGUUAGGGUAGCAAGGAUUUAGAGAGCCUUCUUGAGUCUUUGGGUUGAGAGAGAAUCUCCAAGUCUCCUAGUCUUCCAAAAGGUCCAAGUCCUGAGUCUGAAGAGAAGUCCAAAAUGAAGUCCCCUUCCCAAUGGAGUGGAAGGGGUAUUUAUAGGAUUUUAUAGAGAGUGGUCAUGUGCUAGGCACAUGAUCUCGGAAAAAUUUCAAAUUUACCCUUAGUCAUCAGAGUAAUGCCCAGAUCAUCCUGCCCUUCUAGCCACCAAUCCAAUCCCUCAAUCAAUUCCCAAAAUGAGUCGCCUCCACGUGUCUUCUGCCUUGGGACACGUGAAAGAUUCUCUCAGAUCUUGCUUCUUUUAUUUUCAGCUCUUCCGCCUUUUUAUUUAAUUAUAAUGUGAACAUUAAUUUGUGCAUUUAAUUCAAUUAGGUCAAAUAAACCCUAAUUUGCACUUGCGCCCACAUUUGCCCCCUGUGCGAGAGUCGCGUCCUUGGAGUGACGAUCGUGCAAAAUAACUUUGUGAAUCCUGCUUCAAAUUUUUGAAAAAUCUGCGGAGCUGUGCAAGUCCUGAAAACAGAAAAUCAUAGGAGAGGGAACCUAUGGGAGCUCUCCCAAUAUAUCUUUGAAAAUCUUCUAUCAAAUCUUUCCAAACCUUGCAUAAUAUUUGUUUCCCUAAUUAAUUUUUAUAUGUAUAUAUAUAAAUAUAUAUAUUGAAAUCAAAUCAAAAUAAAUUAUAUAUUUGUUAACUAAAAUCAAAUCUUAAUUAUUUUAUUUUGUUAAUAAUUAAGAUCAAAUCCUUCCUUAUAGAAAAUCAAAUCAUUCCUAUUAUUUUGUAAAUAAAAUCAAAUCAUUCCUAUUUAGUAAUAUAAUAUUUGUUUCCUUAAUAAUAAUAAUGCUUUUUUUUUUUCUUUUAGUUGCUUUGUUGUACUAAUUUUCACAUUCAGUUUGAAGUUCUCAAUAUUUACAAGUGUAGUCCUUUUUUGUUAUUGUUUCACUACGCGGAAUUGAAUUUGAAUUGACCUUCUAACAAGCAAAUGCUAUACCAGAAGCUAAAUUUUCUCUUCAAGCCAUUUGUGAUGCUUUUUAGGGAAACUUGUAUGACAAUAAGAUCCAAUUUAUUUUCCUGGUUGGAUUUUAUUUACAAAGCAGCUAAGAUCUUAUUUUAUUUUGGAAAAUAAAAUAAAAUCUUUCUUUAUAUAAAAUCAAAUCAUUUAUAUUAUUUUGGAAAUAUAAUCUAAUCAUUUCUAUUUAGAAAUAGAAUAUUUGAUUCCAUAAUAUAUAUAUAUAUAUAUAUAUAUAUAUGUAUUAUAUAUGUAUUUUUUUAUUUUUUUAUUUUUUAUUUUUUUGAAACUAAAUCAAGACAAAAUCAAAUUAUAUAUUAUAAAAUAAAAUAAGAUCUUAUUUUAUUUUGAAAAAGAAGGAUCAAAUCUUAUAUAUAUAAUAUAUAUCCAUGUCCCAUAAUAAAGUGAUCAAGUGUGCAGCAAAGUUUAGUUAGCCUGUAUGCAUGCAUAUAUUCAAAGUAAUAACCUCAAUCUUGGUAUGAUAAAUGCAACAAGUUUUCUAUAUAAAUUUGGAUGUUACCGAUCUCCGGCAUUGAUUAAGUGAUUGCCUUCCUUUUCGUCAAUGUCAAUUGUCCCUCUUGCUAUGCUGCCACCCUUGGUCACUGUCUUGCUAAUAGACGCAUGAAACAAAGGCAGUACUGAAGCUCCAGCGAUUAGAACUUGUAACCACUUGUGAAGAUUUCAGUAAUAUAAUCGGCUCUUUAUCAAAUGGCACGGUGUACAAAGGGACUCUGUCAACUGGAGUUGAAAUAGCAGUGACAUCUACUGUAGUGAAAUCAGCUGAAGACUAGUCAAAGAAUUUAGAGACACAAUUCAGGGACAAGAUAGACAAGUUAUUAAAGAUGAACCACAAAAACUUUGUGAAUCUUAUUGGGUUCUGUGAAGAACAAAAGCCUUUCACAAGAAUGAUGGUUUUUGACAGGUAAUUGUAAAAGAUGUUACCAUGUGAACAUAUGCAUGCAUACAUGCUAUCUGAUGCGAUCAUCAUCCACCCACUUCUUAGUAAAAUCACAUAUACAUAUAACAGAGCUCAUUUCGGGCAUUACAAAGUUUGUUUGUUUUUUUUGGUUUUUUUUUUGAAUUCGAUGGAUAUGAUGGUUCGAUUCCUAAUAUAUGAAUAUAUGAUGAUAUCUGCUCCUCUAUGGGUUGAAAGGUUAACCCCUGUGAUGACAUUUGCUCCUGACAAAAGAAAGAAAAAAAAAGAAUAAGCUUAUCUUAUGCAUAUAAUCCUUACAUGUGAUUGAGUAGCAUCCAUCUAUGCAUAAACCGAACAUGUUUUUAAUUUAUCCAUUUAUGUAGCAUCCAUGUUUUUUAUUCUAUAUAUAUAUAAUUGCAAUAGGACAAAGCAAUACUGUUUUUCAGAUUCACGCCACAAACUUUUUCAAUUGAUUUUUUUUAAAAUUGUUACUAUUAUUAUUUUUUUUUUGAUUGUUUCAUCGAUUUCUCUUUUCAGGUGAUUGUAGUUUUUCCUUUUCCGGGCCAUUUCACCUUAACAGGAUCUUGACUCGAAUAUUCUCAAAGAGAAAGCAACACCGCAAGGAGGAGGAAUUAAUUCUGAGCCAUUUCACCUUAACAAGGUCCUUGCUCGGAUAUUCUGAAAGAAAGGACAACACCGCAAGGAGGAAGAAUUUAUUCCGAGCCAUUUCACCUUAACAAGGUCCUUGGCUCGGAUAUUCUGAAAGAAAGGACAACACCGCAAGGAGGAAGAAUUUAUUCCGAGCCAUUUCACCUUAACAAGGUCCUUGGCUCGGAUAUUCUGAAAGAAAGGACAACACUAGAAGGAGGAAAAAUUUAUUCCGAGCCAUUUCACCUUAACAAGGUCCUUGGCUCGGAUAUUCUGAAAGAAAGGACAACACCGCAAGGAGGAAGAAUUUAUUCUGAGCCAUUUCACCUUAACAAGGUCCUUGGCUCGGAUAUUCUGAAAGAAAGGACAACACUGCAAGGAGGAAGAAUUUAUUCCGAGCAAUUUCACCUUAACAAGGUCCUUGGCUCGGAUAUUCUGAAAGAAAGGACAACACCGCAAGGAGGAAGAAUUUAUUCCGAGCCAUUUCACCUUAACAAGGAUCUUGGCUCAGAUAUUCCGGUGAAGUAGCAUUUAUUCCAAUCAGUUGAUUCAACGAGUAAGGAGAAGUUAAAUGUAAGAGGGAAGAGCUCCUUAGGUGGCUAAACCCUACGGGCCAACCCUUAGGGGAACCGACCUAAUGGCCUCCUCUUUCACAUUUUCCCGUUCUUCCUUUACCCUAUUUUUAUUUGAAUGGUUCCUAAUGCUUGUGCUCUUUUUCUUCUUUCAGGUGUUCGUGAUCCUUCUUUCCCGAAUCCAAUCUUCUUAUUUAAGUUUCAUACCUUCUCUCUUGUUAUGGUAAGCACUUAAUUUCAAAUGCUCAUUCACUUUCUUUCCUUGUUUCCAGAAUUCUCAUGUUAAGUUUUCUUGUUGCAGGCCAAUUCCAGUGAACGUUCCACAGACCCGAAAACUACUAAGGAAGUUCCUUUCAUCAGCGACUAGGGGCUCCCUUUUAUGGGUCUUCUGACGUUUCUGGGAGCAAGUGAAGAAUUAUGAUUGAACAACCUUUUUUCCUCCUGAGAAAACAGGUUUAUUUCUAUAUGCUAUGGCUUGCGCAAGCUUAGACAGCUUUCCCUGUUCUGCUCGCAUUCCCCGUAUGUGUAUAGAAAAACAGGAGUACCCCUACAGUCCCAUUCGUUUCAUACCCGACUCAUCCAAUCGUCUUCAGGGGUGGCAACAUUGGACCGACGAGGUUCUCGUAAAUUCUGAUUAUGUGGAUAUACUGAAGAGGGCCGACAUUCUGCAUUGCAUUCAGCUAUGCAGGGAUCUUCGUAUCCAACAAGACCAUGAUGCUCUUACCGUCUUGAUUUCACGUUGGUGUUCUUCCACAUGCAUAUUCGUCAGUACUGCUUCGGGGGAAUGCGCCUCUACUCUGGAGGAUGUCUAUGUCAUCUACCAGUAAGAAUUUGCCCCCUGUGCGUGAGUCACACCUUUGGUGAGAUGAUCGCGCAAAAUAUUUUUUAAGUGUUGGAGUCUUCACUUCUUGAAACUUGAUGUUUUGUAAGCCUUGAAAACGAAAGUCCUAGGAGAGUGAACCUCUAGGGGAGCAAACCCUUGGAGGGCAAGCCCUAGAGGAGCUCUUCAAGGAUAUCUAGGUAUCUCCUAACUUUCCUUGGACAUGUCUCCCUUCCAUGCUAGGUUGGAUCUCUUUAUUUCCAAUCAUCAUGUUGUUGCACUUCGUUCGGAAGUCACUUCACGUCUCCAUGAGAAUGACUUACUUUAUGUAAACUUUAGGAGCUUCAAGAUGCCAUAGAUAAAUUGAAGACCAAGCUUUUGGGAAAUUGAGUCAGCUACCCAAGACCUUGAAGGCUCGAUAGCCUCCAAUACGAAGGCUCAGGGUACCACACCAUUGUCGACUUGAAGGCUUUAGCUAUUCCCCUCUCUUUAGUUCGACAUGUCAUGGCCUUUAGAUCAUAAGCUUUCAUAGUUUUUUCCAUUUCCUGUAUCAGAAAAUUCAUGUACAUAUAUUUCAUUUAUCAAAUUAUGGUUUCUUUUAUCCUUAUUGAUUGCCUUUAAUUUGAACGAUUCUUUAAAAAUCAAUAUUUAACAUUGAAUCUUAAGUUGUUCGAAUUAAGACUCCAAGACAACAAUAGGUCUCAUAAAACAGCAAACAUGAUUCUUUUCAAGAAAAAACAUGUUUUUUUAUGCAAACUAACACUUGAAUCUAUACUUUUUUUUUCCUUUUUUUUAAAAUAUUAGAAAAAUAUUCAAGCAUAAGCCAAAGUUUGACAAUUUAUUGAUAAUAAAAUUGCUUUUAACGAAAAGCAUAACGUUUCAAAUAAUAAAUUCUCGAUUACUUUUGAAGUUGAAAGUAUAACUUGUCUGGUUCGAGGACUUAUAGUCAGGUGCCUCGAUUACUUUUAAAGUUGAAAGUAUAAUUUCUCGGGUCUGAGGACUUAUAGUCGGGUGCCUCAUUCAUUUUAAUGAUAAAGUGUAACACUCGGGUGCCUCGUCACUUGGGUCGUCCAAUUUCUUGGCAAGUGCAGUUUACGAGGACUUGAAAUCGGGUGCCUCGUCACUUGGGUCAUCUAAUUUUUUGGCAAGUAUAGUCUACGAGGACUUGACCACCAUUUAGAGUGGACCACCAUCUUGGCUGGAUUUUUAUUUAUUUAUAUAUAUAUAUAUAUAUAUAUAUAUAUAUUUUAAUUCGUCAAUUCUUAUACCUCCAACCUUGGUCAUCCAAUUACUUUGCAAGGGAUACUCCUGAGGACUUAAACCACCAUUUUUGGUGGACCACCAUCUUGGGUGGAUUUUUAAUUCAUCUGUAGUUCAGAUUUUUUCGAUGGUAGAGCCAGUAUUUGGGUUCUUGACUUUCGGGAUUGCACCAUGGGUGAUAGUGUUAUACGUUUAUUCUCCUAAUUCAAUCUCCCCGGCCACCAACUUCUCAUGGUAUAUCCUCCACAGACUGUAAUAGUCCAUAGUGGAAUGUCCUGCGUAUUGAUGGUAUACACAGAAGUCCGGUCUUCUUUUCAUCUCUUCUGUUACAACCAACCGGGGCCUUGGAGGCUUCACCACUCCAUGCUCAACCCAUUGUUCCUACAGGCUCUUGAAUGCCUUCUCGCUGCAUGUAAUAGCCUCCGAAACUGGCAUUCUGGUAUAUUUGUCCCCAUGCUUUUCUCUGCUUCACUCAAAUUUCUCAUUCUUUUCCCUCUUGCCCCCUUGUGGUUUUGACUGAGAAUCCGCCAAAGCCACAAUUGCUGUCCUCUUGCCCUUCCAUGUAACCAUCGCAUGGCUGGUGGGAAAUGUCAUGAUUCCUCCCAAGUCUUGUGCAAAAGAUGAGAGGGUCACAAAUGAAUCACAAGCUUUGGUAAUGAGGUGGGGCUUGAAGGCGUCUAAAGCACCAUUGUUUCAUAUGUUAACCAAGUUCUUUUCUUCAAUUGGCUCUGCACACUUCUGUGCUUGGGCCCUGAACUUAUCCACGUAAUCUAACAGCUCCCCGUUUGGCUUCUGCUUGAAUCGCAUGAGCUCUACGAUGGUUACCUAUUUUUGCACAUAGAAAAAUUUCUUAAAAAAUUGCAAUUUUAGGUCAUCCCAAUCAUGGACUGAUCCCUUCUCCAAAUUGUAGUACCAAUUAAAGGCACUAUCGUCAAAGUCUUGUUGAAUUGCCUCAUCAACAAGUUGUGGUUGUUUACUUCAUUAUAUCCUAGCCACGGAGACAUCGACUCUACGAACCUGGAAAUGUGUUCCCUGGCAUUUCCUUUCUCCCCGUUGUAUUUUUGAAACUGCGGGGGGAUGCUCAAUAUACCCCGUCGGAUAAGGUUGCCUUCGAAUGUGUGCAGGGUAAGGUGGAGUAAAAUCUAACUCCGAGGGUCGGGAUGUCUGCCUGCGAAGUUGAUUGAUCACAUCGAUCAUAUCAUCCUUCGUACGUACUGGCUUGUGGCGUGAACUCUCUAGGGUGUUGUAAUAUACUGCUGUAUUGGCGGUGUGUAUGGAGAAGAGAUUGGUUGAUGUACACUUGCAUGGUACAAAGCUGGCAUUGGUGGCAUUUGCUGGCUCACUCGCUGGACAUGGCUUGGGACUGUUGGCAUCUGCACCUGUGAAAAUGCUGGAAGAGCAGUUGGGAUGAUGUUCGUCUGAGGUUGGCUUGCUUCCAACCUAGGUUGUGGCCCGUCACCACUGUUCUGGAGCUCCAAGUUGAUUACUGGAACCGAUUGACUUUCAGUCAAUGGAGGUACAAUUUGGUUCUCUUUGUUGUUGCUGCCAUUGUUGUUGUCCUCCACUCCUGUUUGUUCUCCCUGCGAAUUACCUGGGAACAUGGCCUUGAAGGUAGGGAUCUGCAUCAAUUGCUGGCAGAAGUUCCCCAUCUCCUCUUGCUUCCUCUGCAUCUCCAGCAUCAUGGCCAUCAUCAUCCCUUGUCCUUCCCGUGCUUCCUUUAAUGCCUUGAGCAUCUCCAGUUGCACAACAUUCGUCUGCUCUUCGCUUGCAUCCUUGACUUGCCUUCCUGCGUUGGUUUGUUGUUGAUUGGCCAUGUAUAGUGAUGUUGAACUCCCUUCCGAAGCGUCUUCAAUAAGUGGUUGGUCAAAAUCCAGAUUUGCGCCUUGGAAAGCUUGAGUUGUUUGCCUUGGAACUGGAUUUGGUGAGGUAAUACUAUUUGUUGGUGAAGCAGCUCUUCCUGUAGUUCUCCCACUUUGAGUUGUGGGCAUACCCUUCACGAAUUCUACACCUCCCCAGCAGAGUCGCCAAAGAAAUGUGGGCAAGGAAAUCGUACCUUGCUAGGGUUAGGGUUUCGUGUUGGCUGAGGAGGAGAGAAAUCCACGAAAAAUACGGAAUUGAUUGAUUGAUUGAAAAGGGGAGAAGAAUAGGUAAGCGAUAACUCCAACGACACGUGGCAGAACUCUUAGAAUCCGAGAACCUUGUUAAGGUAGCAUGGAUUCAGAGAGCCUUCUUGAGUCUUUGGGUUGAGAGAGAAUCUCCAAGUCUCCUAGUCUUCCAAAAGGUCCAAGUCCUGAGUCUGAAGAGAAGUCCAAAAUGAGGUCCCCUUCCUAAUGGAGUGGAAGGGGUAUUUAUAGGAUUUUAUGGAGAGUGGUCAUGUGCUAGGCACAUGAUCUCAGGAAAAUUCCAAAUUUACCCUUAGUUAUCAGAGUAAUGCCCAGAUCGUCUUGACCUUCUAGCUACCAAUCCAAUCCCUCAAUCAAUUCCCAAAAUGAGUCGCCUCCACGUGUUUUUUGCCUCGGGACACGUGAAAGAUUCUCUCAGAUCUUGCUUCUUUUAUUUUUGGCUCUUCCGUCUUUUUAUUUAAUUAUAAUGUGAACAUUAAUUUGUGCAUUUAAUUCACUUAGGUCAAAUAAACCCUAAUUUGCACUUGGGCCCACAAAUAUGAUAUUAUUAAAUAUAAUAUGAUAAUGUUUAAGAAAUUAAAUUAGUAUUUACUUAGUUUCUCAAUACUAAAUAAAAUAAUAAAAAUAAAAUAAAUAAUAUAAUGCUUAUAUAAACAUAUCUUUGAGUACAUAUACAUAUAUUUGAGUAUAUAAAUAUAUCUUCGAGUAUUUUAUAUAAACGUCUUGGAUGAUAUUAUAUUCUUUGAACAAAUAGAGUUCGACUUCUCAUGAACUAUAGAUUCAACAUCAGCACAUAAAGUUUUCCCCCAGUACUCCUUGAGAAGUGUAAUUAAGUUGGUUUGUCCCACCUCUCCGUGAAAUUGGGAAACAUCCUCGGUUGAAAAGCAUUAAGCUUUUCAGCUAGUGCUCAUGUUUUUGCAAAAUCAACUGUCAUAGAGUGAAAGGUUGUUAAUAAAGACAUUUUUUUACUCAUAUCUUUAUCUAACUCAAGGUCUACAUGUACCAAAUGUGCAGUAGAGAUUUUACCCAAUGUAUCAUUGAUCAGAUAAUCAAUAAAGAACUUUUGAAUUUUUUACAAAAUUAAUAAAUUACUGGGAAACAUGAGAAACAAGGAAGAGUUUUGACAACAUAAAUAUCUUAGAGUAUUAUCAACAUAAAUAGUAUAAUUUAGCUUUAAAUUACCUCUAAGGACACAUCAUGAUCCAUCAAGCGUGGUGUUCGCCCAGUGUAGUCCAUGGGGNNNNNNNNNNNNNNNNNNNNNNNNNNNNNNNNNNNNNNNNNNNNNNNNNNNNNNNNNNNNNNNNNNNNNNNNNNNNNNNNNNNNNNNNNNNNNNNNNNNNNNNNNNNNNNNNNNNNNNNNNNNNNNNNNNNNNNNNNNNNNNNNNNNNNNNNNNNNNNNNNNNNNNNNNNNNNNNNNNNNNNNNNNNNNNNNNNNNNNNNNNNNNNNNNNNNNNNNNNNNNNNNNNNNNNNNNNNNNNNNNNNNNNNNNNNNNNNNNNNNNNNNNNNNNNNNNNNNNNNNNNNNNNNNNNNNNNNNNNNNNNNNNNNNNNNNNNNNNNNNNNNNNNNNNNNNNNNNNNNNNNNNNNNNNNNNNNNNNNNNNNNNNNNNNNNNNNNNNNNNNNNNNNNNNNNNNNNNNNNNNNNNNNAAAGUUGUUAGUGCAUUGUAAGUAAACUAAGGAAGUAACAACCCAAUAGAUACAGAGGAAGAGAGGGCCACGACUAGGAACUGGAAGGGAGUGAAGCAUACAAAUUUCCACCAUUCUUCCGAGAUUAGAAUUUGACAUCUUAUCCCUUAUAUUGAGUUGUAUAUUCUUUUCAUUAUGGUUCGAACAUGUAUGGUUGGGGAUGUAUUGUUGUUUGUGUUGUGUUGCGGACCAGUAAGGGUCCGGGAAUUAUAAGGGGGAUUAUAUGAAGGAGUUGUGUUAAUUGUGUGACGAUCGAGACUUUUGUAAUUAAUUUUUAAAUAUUUAUUAAAUUAAAUAAAUAUUCUGUUUAUUUAUUUAUUGAGUUAAAUAAUCAUUUGAUGGAAUUGUGGUAGAUUAAUUUAAUUAAGUGUGUCACAUUGAUUAAAUUAAUGUGGAAUAAUUUUAUUGAUCAAAGUGAGCAUUUAAUUGAGAUAAUUAAAUUAAAUGAGUUGUCAAAUAAUUUUAAUGUUGUUCUAACUAAUUAAAUAAUUAAUUACGGAUUUAUUAAGAAUGUAAAUUAUGUGUUAUAUAUAUUUAAUAAAUGAGAAUUUUAAUUAUGUGGUAAUUUGAUUUAAUGAAUAAUAUUGGCUUUAAAUUAAUUGAUCAAUUUAAAUAAUGUAAUUUGAUUAAUUAAGGUGUGACAAAUAAACUAUAUAAUAAAUGAGUUAAUUAACAUAAAAGAAAAAGAGCCUUUUUAAAGGUUAGCCAAACAUGGCCUUGUGAACAUGAGAGCAGUUAAAUGCGAAUUGGUCUUAACUGACACCCAUGUUGUGCCAGUUAUUAUAUAUUACGUAUAAUAAGUUUAUAUCAUAUAUUUGUUUAGUCUGAGAAUACACUACAGAGAGAAUAAAGAGAAAAAUUGAGAGAAUUGUGAGAUUGAAGAAGAAGAAGAAGAAAAAGAAGAAAAAGAAGAAGUUGGAGAAUUUAAGGAGUUGCUAUCAUCUCCUACUAAUCUAAACAAACAAUCAAGGGUAAUCUCUUAUAUUCAAGCUUUAAUUUACGUUCUUGAGCUUUCUCCAUGAAAGUUUAUUUUAGUUCUUUGUAAAUUGAAUUUGAUGGCCAAUUUGUUAAGAAAUUGGUUAUAUAUAUUUAUUAGCAUGCAUAAUCCAAUUAUAUAUGAUUUGUAUGUGAUUUAGAGUAAUCAAAUCCAUGAAAUAGUGGUUAAAUUAGAGUUUUGUAGUUUACAGAGAAAUACAUAUGAAUAUGGCUUAAAAGUACAAAAAUUCAUGCUUCAAUUACAUAUUAAUCGGCAAAUUGAUGAAUGAUUAUGUUUAUAUAUGUAAAAAACGAGAAGAACGAAACUUGUAUGGACUAAUUUGGUUGAAAAACGAGUUUGCAGUAGUUGAUUUUGUUAAGAAUGUUAAAAAUAAAGUUUUUCAUAAGAACAUCAAAAUUAUUGCUUUAAAUCUUGUUGUUUAUGUGACUUAAGUUAUUAAAAGCAUGCUAAGAAUGUUAUAGAAUAUUUCUAUUAAGUUCAGAACAUGUGGGUGAAAUUGUUUUCGUUGUUUGUGUGAAAUUUUGGCCUAAAUUGGUCAUGUUCUGUGUUUUUCGCGAACUGCAGAAACUGAAUCUAGGCUGGCGGGCAAAAAAAUUAUUAAAAAAUUAAUAAAUAAAUAAAUAAAUAAAAUAAUUAUCAAAUAAAAUGAAUAUUUUAGUUGAAAUAUUUAUGGAAUAAAAUAAAUAUUCAAUGAAAAUAAUUAUCAAAUAAAAUGAAUAUUUUAGUUGAAAUAUUUAUGGAAUAAAAUAAAUAUUUGAUGGAAAUUAUUAUUAAAAUAUUUAUCAAGUAAAAUGAAUAUUUUAGUUGAAAUAUUUAUGGAAUAAAAUAAAUAUUUGAUGGAAAUUAUUAUUAAAAUAUUUAUCAAGUAAAAUGAAUAUUUUAGUUGAAAUAUUUGUGGAAUAAAAUAAAUAUUCAAUGAAAAUUAUUAUGGAAUAAUUUAUUUGAGUGUAAUAAUAGUGAGGGAAUGAAAAUAUUCUAAUUUAAUUAAGUAAUUAAAUUAGAAGGGUAAUGAUUUGUUAAAUAAAGAGGAGUUUAUAUUAAAUAAUUAAGUGAAAGUGUGACUAAUGGACAAUAUAAUAAGAGAAUUAUAAAAAUAAAUUAGAAAAGGUCUUGUGACCUUAUAACUGCUAUGUUUUGUAACUGGUAAAAUCACGUUAAAAAAAAUGAUGUCCAUGAGAUGAUAUGAUGUUGUUUAAACUUAAGAUUUGAGAUUUCAGUCCUGUAUAUGUGAAUGAUGGUGAUGAGCAGAAUUUAAACCAAAUUAACGAGUUAUAUUAAAAGAGGGAACUAAACCUAUAAGGUUAAUAUUAAUGUAACUAAUGAAUGUCGUGAAUACAUAUGGUAUGUGUGUAGGACUUGCAGUGAACGUGAGUAAUAAUCGUUUAGCCUACGCACGAGGAAAGUUUCCAAAUCCUAUUCUUACAUUGAACAAGUUCUUAAAUCUUAUUAUUAUUGAGCAAGCUUCGUAUUCUUAUUUUGAACUGUUCAAAGCUUAAUAUUCAAGUCUAUGAUUCCAAAUGAAAUGUUCUAAUUCUUUUAAAGUAUUACUUCUAUUGUACAAAGUUCAUUCAAUUGUGUAGAAUUGAGAUCCAAUCUUUUCAGUCAAUAUAAAGUUGAGAUUCAAUCUUUGAUUUGAUUAUUGAUUUCGAUAUUACAUUGAAACCUUGAAUAGAUAGUGAUUCCUUAUUGAUUCAACUAAUCCUUAGUUGAUAAUUAUUGAACUCUAAAUUACUCUUGAGAUCAAUCCAAACCAAACUUCCUUUUGUGUGGACUCUAAUGUCAAAGCUGAGAUGAACAACCCUUCUACAGGGGAUUAUAUUACGCGAUAGCGUUAAGAUGUUGUGCACAUACAUGGUAUAUAGGGCUGAUCCCCCUAAGUACGAGAAGUUAGGUUCAUAUAGUCUUACGACUGUUAAAGGUUUAAAGUAGAAAUACGUGAUAACCUGGGACAUAGUUCAUGGUCUUAUGACCCUCCGAUGUAUUUUUGAUUCCUGUUCUAAUCUUGAUUUAAAAGCCGAGACUUCUUUUGGUUCAGUAUCCAUUGUUUAUUAGUAUGUUAUUAUUAUUAUUCUAUUGUUAAACUUAUGGGCAAUUGUUGCUCACUCUUGCAUAAUAACAUUGCAGCUAAGAUUGAAAGAGUUGAUGAGCCAUCUACAAGUAAGGGCAAGGGAAAAACAAGCAAAUGAUGAAGACUUAUUUAAUAUUCAAGAAUGUUUAUAUUAAGACUUAUAAUGUGAUGUUUAAGACUUAUUUUUUUAUGAUGUUUUCGUAUAUGAUGUAUUAAGGUUAGAUAACCCAGGAUUUAUUCAUUUAAGAUGUUGUAACCCUGUAUUGGGAGGAUUUCUAUUUCAAUUUUAUUGUUAUCAUUAUUAUGGGUAGUUAGAUGUUAAUUAUUUUGUUGAGUGAACACCAAAUCUAAGAGAAUUUUGAGUACCUAGAUUUGGGGGUGUCACAGGUUGGUAUCAAAGUUGUAGGUUAUGAACCAUAGGUGGGGGAAAAACUUUAGGUAGUAGCCUUAUAGGAGAUUGAGAACAUAGUGGUGAUAAACUCUUAUCGAGUUCUAAGAAAUGAAUUCCUUAAAAGACUUUAUGUGCUUAUGUGAUAUACUUAUGUGCUCACGAGUAUUGAUUAGUAACUAAAACUUAAAACUUUGUUGUCAGGAUGUCUGAUGUUUGAGGAUCUAGUUGGGCUGGGGAGGAGGAACCCCGAGUACCUAGAGUGGAGGAGCCCCGAGACAUUCAUGUUGUCCGGGAGCAGUUGCUACAGAGAGCCAUCUCCAUUGAGUUGUGGGUCAGGAGCAUGAGCCUGAGACUGACCCUGAGGAGGAAAAGGAGGAAGUUGAGUUCCCACCGAACUCUAUUGCAGCUCAGAUGUAUGACGAGGUGUAUAACCGUAACAUUGAGCUUCAGAAUAGAGUCAGAGAAUUUGAGGAGCUGGCAAAUAGACGUCAGAACACUAUAAGUCAGAAGAAUGAGGAAAUCCAAGGUCUUGAUGCACGUCUUGGAAAUGUGGAGUAGAAAUUAGUUCACUUAAAGGGUGACAAUGAGCAAUUGACGACAGAAGUUGCAAAGCUGAAGGAUGAUCUGAGAGUGAAAUCCGUCAAGCGAGCCAGAGAUGGAGAUGCUUACGAGCAGGCUUCUCAGCGAGCAGAUGUAGCCGAAGAAGAGGUGCAAGCAAAUAAGGUCAAGAUGGUGGAGAUGGAUUGUGCAUUCAACACUGCGGUGAACAAAGCUCAUGAUCAAGUUAUGUACUAUCCAAUUCAGUUCGAGGACUUACCUUAGUACAUGCUGGAUCGUAGGACGAUAAUUCGUAUUAUGGAAGAAGAGCACAUAAAAGCUAUUCGACGUCUUAAUAGGUCCUGAUAGGAACAAUAUGAAUUAUGUGAAUAUCUAUGUUAGUUAAUGAUGUAAAUUCCAGUAUGAAUAUAAGUAAUGAAAUAUGAUGAUUUAAUCUUGAAGAUUCUUUAUCUCGGGAUAGUUGAUGUAAAUAGCAGUGAUCUUAUCUCUCUAUGUUUUAAAAGUUAUUAAUGAAUAAAAUAUCAAUGUUUAUUCAAGAUGUUAAAAUGUUUAAGUUAAGUCUUAAAUACUUAAGAGAUUGAGUAAUGAUCUAAUAAACGUAUAUCUUAAACAGAAAAUGCCGCCAAGAAGACGCCCAACACGUCAACAAGCUCAGGAAGGAUCCACGAACAUUAACAGCAACAACAACGAUAAUGCCAACACAUAUCCUAUUGAUCAGCAGUUGGUAAACCUAUUAAUGGGAGCACUUGCGAAUCAAUCGCAAGCUCAAGCUACCCUAUUCAAGGAUUUUAAAGCAGUAGGGCCGCCAGAAUUUAGGGGAUCCAUGAAUUCGGUCGAAGCUCAGACCUGGAUUAUGGAGAUGGAGAAGGUAUUUGACGUUGCUAGAGUCAACGAUGAUCAGAAGACGGCCUUUGCAACGUUUAUGCUGAAAUCAGAGGCUAGUUACUGGUGGCAGGCAAACAAGGAUAGAGGAGGACAAGGUGUGAUCGCAUAGGAUAGGUUUAAAGAGAUGUUCUUUGAGAUGUACUUCCCAACGAGCUCUCAAAACCAGAUGGAGCUUCAUUUUCUAGAAUUGAAGCAGGGAAACAUGACGGUGCUAGAAUAUGCCGCGAAAUUCAACGAGUUGGCUAGGUUCGCAACUUAUCAAGUGAAUACGGAUGAGAGGAAAGCUAGGAGUUUUGAACAAGGAUUGAAGCCGUGAUUGUAUAGAAAGGUGUUAAUGUUUCAAUUGAACACUUUUGCGGUAGUAUUGGAGAAGACAAUUAUUUCAGAAGGUGGAAGCGAUGUUCUGACCAGGUAUAAUCAGGAGCAGAAGAAGAAGAAUGAAAGUGAGAAUAACAAAGCUAGUGGCAGUAGCAGUAGUGGCGGUCAUAGUCAGAAGAGGAAGUGGAAUGAUAAUAUGUCUACAGGGAAUCAACAAGGAAGUCAGAAGAAGAAGGUGGAGGCUUGUCUUACCUGCGGGAAGAGUCACCUAGGGGUAUACAUGAAGGGAAAAAGGGUUUGCUACAAUUGUGGUAAAGAAGGCCAUAUAGCGCUAAAUUUCCCUAACCCUAUAAAGGGGGCUUGUUUUACUUGCAGGUCGAGGGAUUAUUUGGCAAGGGAUUGUCCCAAGAAGGCAGCAGGAGGAGCAGGAAUGGGUGGAAAUAAGGGAAACAGCGGUGGUAGCACUCUGACUAUCACUGGACCGACGCCGCCAAACUGACCCACCGCCAAAAAUUUCAAUAUAACCGUGCAGGAUGUUGUGUAGUCCCGAGAUAUGGUGUUAGGUAUCAUUCCGAUCAAUAAUGUUAAUGCCUACGUAUUAUUUGAUUCGGGUGCUACUUGUUCAUUUAUAUCCGACGAUUUUGCUAAGAAUUUGAAUUUUCCUAAAGAGGAAUUAGAAUAUCCUUUGAACAUAGAGAUUGUGAAUAGGGAAGUAAUUCCUGUUAGGUUUGUACAUAAGAACUGUAGGGUGGACAUUAAGGGUCACAAAAUGAUGGUAGAUCUAAUCCCGAUUAAACUUGGGGAAUUUGAUAUCAUUCUGGGAAUGGAUUGAUUAUUCAAUUAUGGGGCAAUAAUGAUUGCCAAAGAAAGUGUGUAAACCUUAUGACUUCGUCAAAGGUUGUAUUUUAUAGAAAUAAGUCGCCUAGACAAGCGAGUUUUCUGACAAUGAUGUAGGCCAAAAAGUUGUUGAGACAAGGAUGUGUAGGAUAUUUAGCCUAUAUAGUCGAUACUCGAAAGGAGAAUCCAAAAUUAGAGGAGAUACUAGUUGUUAGAGACUUUGGAGACGUAUUUCCAUAUGACUUGCCAGGACUUCUGCCAGACAGGGAAGAAGAAUUUGUGAUCGACUUAGUGCCAGGAACUGCCCCAAUAUCGAAGGGCCCGUAUCGUAUGGCUGUAGUGGAGAUGAAAGAAUUGAUGGUGCAACUACAAGAACUGUUAGAAAAGAAAUAUAUUUAACCGAGCGUUUCACCGUGAGGAGAACCGGUAUUGUUUAUCAAAAAGAAGGAUGGGUCGAUGCAACUUUGCAUUGAUUAUAGAGAAUUAAACAAGGUCACAAUUAAGAAUAAGUAUCCAUAUUACCAAGGAUUGACGACCUGUUUGACCAGUUAAAAGGAGCUUGGCAUUUCUCAAAGAUAAACUUGAGAAGUAAGUACCAUCAGUUGAAGGUGAGGAAAGAAGAUGUACCGAAGACAGCGUUCAAAACUCGUUAUGGUCAUUACGAGUUCCUGGUGAUGUCAUUUGGUCUAAAGAAUGCUCGUGCAGCGUUUAUGGACCUAAUAAACAGGGUGUUUAAACCAUUUUUGGAUAAAUUCAUGGUAGUGUUCAUCAACGAUAUUCUGGUAUAUUCUAAGACCAAGGAGGAGCAUGUCGAACAUUUGAAGGUGACAUUGGAGGCAUUGAGAAGAGAGAAGCUGUACGCUAAGUUUUCGAAAUGUGAAUUCUGGAUAGAGCGCGUGCAAUUUCUUGAGCAUGUGAUUGACAAGGACAGGAUUUCGGUAGAUCCAUCGAAAGUUGAAGCUGUGAUGAACUGGGAUCAGCCGAAGACACCGUCGAAAGUAAGGAGUUUUUUAGGACUGGUAGGUUAUUACAUAAGAUUUAUUCAAGAUUUUUCCAAAAUUACGACUCCGCUUAUGAAUUUGACUAGAAAAUCGAUAAAGUUAGUUUGGACGGAAAAGUGUAAGGAAAGUUUCCAAGAACAGAAGAAAAGGUUAAGUACGGCACCUGUGUUAUCCCUUCCCGAUAGCACAGGAAAUUUUAUGGUGUAUAGUGAUGCAUCGCAUAAGGGGCUAGGCUGUGUGCUUAUGCAGAACGACAAGGUCAUUGCGUAUGCAUCACACCAACUGAAGGAUUAUGAGAAGGUGUAUCCUACACAUGAUUUAGAACUGGUUGCAGUGGUGUUUGCUUUGAAGAUAUGGAGGCAUUAUCUCUACGGGGAGAAGUGUGAAAUAUAUACCGACCAGAAGAGUCUGAAAUAUAUUUUUACACAAAAGGAUUUGAACAUACGUCAGAGGAGAUGGUUGGAGUUAAUAAAGGAUUAUGAGUGUGAGAUUUUAUACAAUCCGGGUAAUGUGAAUGUAGUUGCCGAUGCCUUAAGCAGAAAGGGUAGAGAGAAACUGUUUAUGUUAAUCGCUCAGGAGGAGCUAAUUUCAGCAAUGGCAAAACUAGAGCUGGAAGUAAAAUAUCCAAAGGAAUCGAACGAAAAACUAUUUCAAACGGAAACUGGUCCAACUUUGGUGGAUAAGGUUAUAGAAGCACAACUCAAAGAUGAGGAAUGUGAGAAAAUCAAGAAAAGAAUAUCUGAAGGAGAGGAAGGGAAAUUCAAAAUUGACAACGAAGGGAUAUUGAAAUUCGAGAAAAGAAUUUGGGUUCCACAAGUAUCAGAGGUAAAAGAGAAAAUUUUGAGCGAGGCUCAUAGUUCACGGUAUUCGAUUCACCCGGGGAGUACGAAGAUGUAUCAGGAUCUCCGACAGCAUUUCUGGUGGCCAAAUAUGAAGAAAGACGUUUCUGAUUGUGUAGCCAAGUGUUUGACAUGUCAGAAAGUUAAAGCAGAACAUCAGAGACCAAGUGAGUUGUUACAACCGUUAGACAAACCAGAAUGGAAGUGGGAACAUAUCACGAUGGAUUUUGUGGUAUGGCUUCCAAUGACUCAGAAAGGUUUCGAUGCAGUUUGGGUUAUUGUGGACCGCGUAACGAAAUCAGCACAUUUCUUACCCAUCAAGAUCAGGUUUCACUUGGAUCAGUUGGCGAAAUUGUAUGUAAAGGAAAUUAUUUUAAGGCACGGUGUUCCAAUGUCUUUAGUCUAGGAUCGAGAUCCACGUUUCACAUCGAACUUCUGGAAGUGACUACAGGAAUGCAUGGGAACGUAAUUGAGAAUGGGUACGGCAUACCAUCCUCAAAUAGAUGGCCAGAGCAAAAGGACAAUACAGACAUUGGAGAAUAUGUUAAGAGCUUUUAUAAUGGACUUCAAAGGAAAUUGGGAUGAUCAUCUACCGCUAGUGGAAGUCGCUUACAAUAAUAGUUACCACGCAAGUAUUGGCAUGCCGCCUUACGAAGCGUUGUACGAUAAAAAGUACAAAACUCCAUUAUGUUGGGAUGAAGUUGGUGAACGUCAACUAAUAGGACCAGAAUUGGUGCAACAGACCGAUGAGAUUGUCAAGGUGAUUAGGACACGAUUGAUAGUUGCUCAAGACAGACAGAAGAAAUAUGUUGAUCAACACCGACAGAAUUGAGAAUUUGAAUCUGGUAGCUACAUUUUCUUGAAAGUGUCUCCCUGGAAGGGUAAGAUCCGAUUUGGUAAGAAGGGAAAAUUGAGCCCGACGUUCAUUUGACACUUUGAAGUUUUGAGGAAAAUUGAUGAAGUUGCGUAUGAGGUAGCCUUACCUCCGGCCUUAGAACAUGUCCAUAAUGUUUUCCAUGUUUCUGUCUUAUGACCGUAUAAGCCCGAUUACAAGCACGUUAUCGAAUAUGAACCCCUACAAUUUGAGAAAGAUUUAUCUUAUGAAGAAGUUCCUAUUCAGAUAGUCGAAGGGAAAGAACAAGUACUCAGAAAUAAAGUAAUACAUUCUAUUAAGAUAAUCUGGAGGAACCACAACGCUGAAGAAGCUACGUGGGAACUCGAAGAACAAAUGAUAAAAAAGUAUCCUCAUUUAUUUGCUUAAUCUGUGUGUAGCGAUUCUAGGGGCAGAAUCUUUGUAAGGAGGGAGAAUGUAAUGGGACUAACUAAGUGAAUUGUGAUUCUGGGGACAUAAUCCUUUUAAGAGGGGAAAGAUGUGACGAACGAGACUUUUGUAAUUAAUUUUUAAAUAUUUAUUAAAUUAAAUAAAUAUUUUGUUUAUUUAUUUAUUGAGUUAAAUAAUCAUUUGAUGGAAUUGUGGUAGAUUAAUUUAAUUAAGUGUGUCACAUUGAUUAAAUUAAUGUGGAAUAAUUUUAUUGAUCAAAGUGAGAAUUUAAUUGAGAUAAUUAAAUUAAAUGAGUUGUCAAAUAAUUUUAAUGUUGUUCUAAUUAAUUAAAUAAUUAAUUAGGAAUUUAUUCAAAAUAUAAAUUGUAAGACCCCAAAUUUUUAUAAAUAAAAAUCGAAUUUCCUCUAAUUAUUAUUCUUGAUUAAUAAGGUGGUAAUUUGAUAUAAUGCUUUGGUUAUGGGUGAAAUAUGCAAAGUUUACAAAAUAAGCAAGUGGUUAUAAAAUAUUCAUUNNNNNNNNNNNNNNNNNNNNNNNNNNNNNNNNNNNNNNNNNNNNNNNNNNNNNNNNNNNNNNNNNNNNNNNNNNNNNNNNNNNNNNNNNNNNNNNNNNNNNNNNNNNNNNNNNNNNNNNNNNNNNNNNNNNNNNNNNNNNNNNNNNNNNNNNNNNNNNNNNNNNNNNNNNNNNNNNNNNNNNNNNNNNNNNNNNNNNNNNNNNNNNNNNNNNNNNNNNNNNNNNNNNNNNNNNNNNNNNNNNNNNNNNNNNNNNNNNNNNNNNNNNNNNNNNNNNNNNNNNNNNNNNNNNNNNNNNNNNNNNNNNNNNNNNNNNNNNNNNNNNNNNNNNNNNNNNNNNNNNNNNNNNNNNNNNNNNNNNNNNNNNNNNNUGGAUAAAGCAGAUCAACAAGAUAUUUGAUGUCUUGGGAUGCUCCGAGGAGCAAAAGGUUCCCUUUGCCACCUUCAUGUUGCGAGCAGAGGCAGAUUACUGGUGGGAAUCUGUAAAGCGUACUCAAUCUGCCGCACUCAAAAUGUCUUGGGAGAAGUUCCAAGAACUGUUCAACGACAAGUACUUUCCUGAAAGUAUUUGUCACAUGAAGGAGGUAGAGUUCAUCAAGCUUGAGCAAAACAAUAUGACCGUGAUGCAGUAUGAAGCUAAGUUUGUCGAGUUGUCUCGGUUUGCGUCCCUCUUAGUUGAUAAUGAGGAGAGAAUGACGCGGAUGUUUCUAAGAGGUUUGAAACCCGAGAUACGUCAAUACCUAAAUUCUCACAAAUUGUGUUUGUAUUCAGAUGUUGUGAAUAGGGCUCAGUUAUUGGAGCGCGAUAAUGAGUCAACCCAACCAAGAGAGAGCAAUCGACAAGUCGAUAACACCAGCAGUAGUUGUCAUCAAAGUGGUGACAACAAGCGUGGAGGGAAUCAACAUGUCUGAAAUGGUAAUCACUUCGGUGGUAAUCAUGGCCAUGACAAUAAGAGUGGACAUUUAAAGAAGAGGAGAUUCAAUAAUGAUGGAAAGACGUCAGCACCAGCACCUGUUGUUAAGGAAGGAAAACGACCGCCGGUCGUAUGUUACAAAUGUGGAGGGGAAGGACACAUCAGUCCAAACUACGCGAUGCAGUCCAAAGCGUGUUACAAUUAUGGAAAAGCGUUUGUCGUAACCUCCCAAAAAGCGAGGAAUCUGAACGAGGUGAUCACGGGUAAGCUAAUUAUAAACUCUAGUGAAGUUUAUACUUUAUUUGAUACCGGUACUACCCAUUCUUUUAUUUCUCCUACUUGUGCUCAACGUUUAAAUUUGACUUCGGAGAAAUUAGACUUUGACUUAUCUGUUGAAACUCCGUUGGGAGAAACCUUCAUUACAUCCACUGUUUAUAAGUCUUGUUUGAUUUAAAUCGGUAACCGCACAUUACCUGUCGAUCUUAUUUCUUUGAAAAUACUUGCAUUUGAUGUGAUUUUAGGGAUUGAUUGGUUAACUACUCAUCAUGAUAAAAUCGAUUGUUUUCGUAAGGUUGUUAGCUUUCAUAUUCCUAACCAACCUAUUAUGUGAAUUUAAACAACCAAACCACUAAAAUCAAUCACUGUCAUAUCAAGCCAUAAAGUUAUUCGUUUAUUGAAAAACGGAUGUCAAGCUUUCUUAGCCAAUGUCACGGAUUUAAAUAAAAAUACGUCAGAUUUGAAUGAUAUUUCUAUUGUUAAUAAAUUUCUUAACGUAUUCCCUGAAAAACUUCCUGGCAUACCCCUAGAGCGUGAAAUUGAAUUUUCUAUCAACCUUGAAUCCGGUACAAAACCCAUUUCCAAAGCCCCAUAUCGAAUGGCUCCUAUUGAACUUCAGGAGUUAAAAACCCAACUACAGGAAUUGUUAGACAUCAGUUUCAUUCGUCCUAGUACGUCUCCUUGGGGUGCUCCUGUUUUAUUCGUGAAGAAGAAAGAUGGAAGUUUGAGACUUUGUAUUGAUUAUCGGGAGUUGAAUAAUGUCACCAUCAAAAAUAGGUACCCGUUGCCUCGCAUUGAUUACCUGUUUGACCAGUUGUAAGGAGCCAAAUUCAUUUCAAAGAUUGAUCUUCGUUCCAUAUAUCAUCAGUUGAAGAUUAAAACUGAUGACAUUCCAAAGACUGCUUCCAGAACUCGGUACGGGCAUUAUGAAUUCCUAGUCAUGUCUUUUAGAUUGACUAAUGCUCCUGCUGCCUUCAUGGACAUGAUGAACCGAAUAUUCAAGGAAUAUUUGGAUCACUUUGUGGUCGUCUUUAUUGAUGACAUCCUCAUAUACUCCAAAACCCGUGAAGACCAUGAGCAACACUUGAGGCUGAUACUCCAAAAGCUUCGUGAAAAAAAGCUAUAUGCCAAGUUGAAGAAAUGCGAGUUCUGGCUUGAGGAAGUUUCAUUCCUUAGGCACGUAAUAUCAAAUCAUGGAAUAUCUGUUGACUCGGCAAAGAUUGAAGCAAUUCAAAGCUGGGAGCAAUCUAAGUCAGUGAUCGAAGUACGUAGCUUUCUCGGCUUAGCUGGUUAUUAUCGGAGAUUCGUAGAAGGGUUUUCUCGAAUCGCUACUCCAUUAACUCAGCUGACUCAAAAAGAUACAAAAUUUGGUUGGAGCGAGGAAUGUGAAAAGUGUUUUCAAGAACUCAAGAGAAGACUCAUUUUAGCACCUGUUCUAACAAUACCAUCUGGCUUGGAGAGAUUUGUCAUCUACAGUGAUGCUUCAGGCAAAGGGUUAGGAUGUGUUCUUAUGCAACAUGGGAAAGUCAUAGCCUAUGCCUCACAACAACUCAAAGAAUAUGAGAGGAAUUAUGCUACUCAUGAUCUAGAGUUGGCAACAGUCAUUUUUGCGCUUAAAAUUUGGAGGCAUUACCUUUAUGGAGAAAAGGUGGAGAUCUAUACGGAUUAUGAAAGCCUCAAAUAUUUCUUCACUUAAAAGGAACUCAACAUGCGACAACGACGAUGGCUUAAGUUGUUGAAAGAUUAUGAUCAUACCAUCCAAUACCAUCCUGGAAAAGCGAACGUAGUAGCUGACGCAUUGAGUAGAAGAUCAUAUGCGGGUACGAGUGCAAUAUUCUCAAUGCAAAUACCCAUUUUGUAUGACUUGGAAAGGAUGGAAAUAGAGUUAAAGACUCCAGGGACCCAUGUGAUGAUGGCGAAUAUACGAGUAGAACUGACUUUAAUUGAUAAAGUUAAAGCUGCUCAACUUACGGACCUGGAGCUGAUGUGUAUGAGGAAGAAAGUACAAGAAGGUGCUAUUCCGGAAGCAAGAAUCGAUGAAGAAGGAAUACUUCGAGUCAACUCCAAACUUUGUGUUCCUAACGAUUCUGACUUGAAGUAUAAAAUCAUGAUGGAGACACACAACACACCGUUUGUAAUCCAUCCUGGGAGUACUAAAAUGUAUCGUGAUCUUCGACAUACAUUUUGGUAGAGCAAUUUGAAGAGAGAGAUAGUGGGGUUUAUCUCAAGGUGUCUAACUUGUCAAUGAGUCAAGGCGGAGCAUCAAGUGCCAAAAGGUCCAUUGCAACCACUUGAAAUUCCAGAAUGGAAGUGGGAGCACAUUACCAUGGAUUUCAUUACUGGUCUUCCCAAGGUUUCUCAAGGCAUAGAUGUGAUUUGGGUCAUUGUUGAUAGAUUGAACAAGUCUGCUCAUUUCUUACAAAUACGAGAAACUUAUACACUUGAACGUCUUGCUAGUAUGUAUAUAAACGAGAUUGUAAGAUUGCAUGGUAUGCUAGUAUCCAUAGUUUUUGAUCGAGACCCAAGAUUCACUUCAAGAUUUUGGGUUAGUUUGCAAAAAGCUAUGGGCACGGAUUUACGAUUUAGUUCGGCAUAUCAUCCUCAAAUGGAUGAGCAGUUGGAAAGGACUAUUCAAACUCUUGAAGAUUUAUUAAGACUCUAUGUCCUUGACUUCAAGGAAAGUUGGGACAAGUUCUUACAAUUGGUGGAGUUUUCCUACAAUAAUAGUUAUCAAGCAAGUAUUGGCAUGGCUCCAUUUGAGGCGUUGUAUAGAAGAAAGUGUCGUUCUCCAGUAUGCUGGGAUGAGGUGGGUGAAACAACAUUGUUGGGACCGGAUUUGGUACGUAUGACUACGAAAAAGAUUCAAACGAUCCGACAAUGUAUAAAAACCUCAUAAGAUCGACAAAAGAGUUAUGUUGAUCGUCAUCAAAAGGACGUGGAAUUCAAAAUUAGAGAUCAUGUGUUGUUACGUGUUUCUCCAUGGAAAGGAGUUAUGAGAUUUGGAAAGAGAAGAAAGCUCAAUCUUCGAUUCAUUGGCCCAUUUUUAAUCCUCGAUCGAGUAGAAACUGUGGCCUAUAGACUCGCCUUACCGCCAAGUAUGUCUCGUGUUCAUAAUGUUUUUCACAUAUCUAUGUUACGUAAAUAUGUGAAAGACCCAAACCACAUUAUUGAAUUAGAACUAGACAAGAUAGAGGAAGAUUUAACGUAUGAAGAGUUACCUGUUAAAAUCUUGGAUAAGAAGGAUCAUAUUCUACGCUCUAAAGUUAUACCUCAAGUCAAAGUUUUGUGGAGAAACCACGAUGUGGAAGAAAUGACCUGGGAGUUAGAAUCUGAGAUGAAGUCAAGAUAUCCUCACCUCUUCGAUAUACCAGGUACGUACCCUAAUUUCGAGGACGAAAUUUCAUAAGAAGGGGAGGUUGUAAGACCCCAACUUUUAUGAAUAAAGAAUAAUUUUCUCGAAAUAUAUUUUUGAAUAUUAUGGUGUGGAUUUGAUAUAAUGUUAUAGUUGUGGGUAAUAUUUACAAAUUUUGCAAAGUAAGCAAGUGGUUAUAUAAUAUUCGAUUGGUCGGGGAAUAUUCGUUUUAACAGGGAAUAUUCGUACGACGGCACAAUCAUUGGUGGACCCCACAACGGAAGUAUUGUCGUAGUUAGAAAACGACAGAAUUAUCUUUUUAUAAAAAUAACGGCGAAAGUGUUACCGUUAAAACUGUUGAACUACCCGGUAGUAAAAGUACAGUAAUACGCGUGGUUGCAUAGUAGCACACGGUAUUGAUUAUUGAUGCUUACGUGAGAAGUCACUCAGUUAUACUCAAUUAUUGCUACAGUAAUUGCUGCAUCAUAUCUCUCAUAUUAUUGAUUCAAUUAUUGUCACAGUAUCAUCUGCAUAAUAUGUUAUAUUAUUAAAUCAAUAAUUGAGACGACAAAGUUAUUCAUAUUAUUAUUUGCAAUAUUGACAAUGUCUAGAAGUUCUGUCAAGGAGAGGUUUGGUCACCUAAUUGCGCGCCAAUAAGGAGAAAUCCUUAUCGGAAAGCCCCCUCUUUCCUGGGAACGACCUGGUUGUUAAAUAUUGUGAGUUAUAAUAUUAAUGAUGAAUAAGUUCGUGUUGAUUAAAGAUGAAAUUGAUAGUUCCAUUGUGUUGGAAUUAUUAGUGUUAGUGGAAAUUGACAUUUAUUUUGAUAAUAAUUGAUGUCUAGAGGUUAUAUUGACCAAUCGAGUAAUUAAUCGGAUAAAUGUGGAAUUAAUUGCUAUUAAUUCACAUGAUUAUAACUAUAUUUGUUCACAUGUGUGUACUAUUGAUUCACAUUCUUGUACUAUUAGGGGAGGUGGUGCAAGACUGAUAAUACUUGCAUGACUAAGUUAAAAAUGGAGGUAUAGAUGGAGGUACUAUACUGUAAUUUGUAUUUUCACAUGUCUAGAACUAUUGAUUCACAUGAUUUACUAUUAGGGGAGGUGGUGCAAGUUUGAUAAUACUUGCAGGACUAAAUUAAAAAUAAAGGAAAAGAGGAAGAUAUUAUUCUGUAAUAUUUCGAGCACUAAAAUGUACAAUUAUCGAAACUAUAUUUUUUUAUAAAUAGAAGCUCAUUCUUCCUUCAUUUCGUACCAAUUCACUAAAGCUAUAGACCAAUUAUUAUAGAGAGAAACUAUAGAGAGAAAGAAGAAGAGAAGUCUGCUACCUCACUAUUCCAGUAUCCAGUUUUUUCUAAGGUAAGGGGUAUUAUUCUUUCGUAUUCAUGAAGAGAGUUAUUUUCUUUCAAUACUCGUAAGGGUUGUUAUUCUAUUCUUUAUUAUUAUGUUGGAAUAACAUGUCUAUCCGAAGUACCGCAUACAUGGUGAAAUUCUUCUAUUCUUCUAUUAUUUAUUAUUUUGUUGGAAUAACAUGUCUGUGCGGUCUAUAGCAUUCCUGGUGAAUUCUGUUGUUAUUCCAUUAUUUAUUAUUUAGUUGGAAUAAUCUGUCUGUGCAGUCUAUCGCAUGCAUGGUGAAUUCUGUUGUUAUUCCAUUAUUUAUUAUUCUGUUGGAAUAUCCUGUCUGUGCGGGUUACGCAUGACCUGGUUCCAUUCUUUAUUAUUUUUUUGGAAUGACCUGUCUAUGCGGAUUACGCACGCCUGGUGAAUUCUUCUAUUAUUCCAUUCUUUAUUAUUCUGUUACAAUAAACUAUCUAUGUGGAUUACCGCAUGCAUGGUAAAUGAUCUUUCGUAUUCAUUCCUUAUUAAAUUAUGGAAAUGAUCUAUCUACGUGGAUUACCGCAUGACGGGCAAAAAUCCAUUUGCGGUUUCAUAUAUUCUAUUAUACUCAGUUAGUUAAAGUUUUGGCUUCUAUACUCCAUGAAAUUAGUAGAAUAUCCUGGAUAUUUGCGCUUCAUCCAGUAUCUUUUCAUGAAAAUAUUCUUCUGAGCAUUCUUGAAUUUUACUCCACAAAGAAGUAUCAUGUUGACAAUUUGGACGUUAUUGAUUUUUGGAUAAAUUAAAAUUAUAAAUCUUUAAAAUUUAUCCUUGAACUUGUUUUAUUGAAUUAUUAUGUCAUUGUCAUCAUCCUCAUGCUUAUAUUGUGAUGAAAGUCAUCUUUGGCUUACGUGCAUAGAUGGACUUGGUAUGAUUAUGACCAGGGAUUAUUCGGUAUAAUCAUGACCGUAAUGUGACGAAUGAUGUGGUAAAAGUCCUCAUUGGCCUGUAGUUCAUUGAUGGACAGUUGUUGGUAUGAUUAUGACCAGGGAUUAUUCGGUAUAAUCAUGACCAUUGAUGAUUACAUGAAUAUCCUUGGUCGUGAUGCAGGGAUGAUUCAAUUUUAUUUAUUAAGCUGAGUCUCAGCGAUAAAGUUGAUGAAAAACUUUUUAAAUCAUAGAAGAUAGUAGAUUUUAUGCUCUAUUUGACUCUUAUAAUGGAUUGCUUGUUCCGCUGCAGUUAAACUUGAUGUCUAUUGUAUUUUAUACGUUUAACAUUGUUGAAGGCUAAUGAUAAUUUAUUUUUCAUUAUCUUAGUCAUAAUAUUUCUUACUGAGCUAGUUGAGCUCACCCUUUCUUUCACUGUUCUCUUCAAGAAAUGAGAACAUAGCCGGGACUAGUCGGGGAACGGAGUGACGGUCCAGACGAUAGCAUUAGUAGUCCUCAUUAUUCUGCUAAAUAGUGUGACAAUAAAUGUAAUGAAGACUCCAUUGAGUGUGGAUAUUGUCUAGAUGACAAUAUUCUUAUUAAAACUCUUAGAUUAUGUUUUGUCAUAUUUUAUACGACUGUUGUAUAAUUAAGUUGUAUUUGAAUAUUGUACCAUGUAUUUGGUGACUCAAGAUGGGUGAUGUAUACCGAUUUUGGGGGCGUCACAAAAGUCAUCUUUGGCUUACGUGCAUAGAUGGACUUGGUAUGAUUAUGACUAGGGAUUAUUCGGUAUAAUCAUGACCGUAAUGUAACGAAUGAUGUAGUAAAAGUCGUCAUUGGCCUGUAGUUCAUUGAUGGAUAGUUGUUGGUAUGAUUAUGACCAGGGAUUAUUCGGUAUAAUAAUGACCAUUGAUGAUUACAUGAAUAUCCUUGGCCGUGGUGCAGGGAUGAUUCGAUUUUAUUUAUUAAUUUGAGUCUCAGCGAUAAAGUUGAUGAAAAACUUUUUAAAUUAUAGAAGAUAGUAGAUUUUAUGCUUUACUUGACUCUUCUAAUGGAUUGCUUAUUCCGCCGCAGUUGUUGAUCUAAAACUUGUUGUUUAUUGUAUUUUAUCAGUUGUUAUACUGUUGAAGGCUAAGGAUACUUUAUUAUGCAUUAUCUUAGUCAUAAUAUUUCUUACUGGGCUAGUUGAGCUCACCCUUUUACUUUCAUUGUUCUCUUUAGGAAAUGAGAACGUAGCCGGGACUAGUCGGGGAAUGGAGUGAUGGUCCGAGAUGGUGUCAUAGUAGUCCUCACUAUUCUAUAAAAUAGUGUGACAAUAAAUGUAAUGAGGACUCCAUUGAGAGUGGAUAUUGUCUAGAAUGAAAUAUUCUUGUUUAAACUCUUAGAUUAUGUUUUGUCGUAUUUUACAUGACUGUUGUAUAAUUAAGUUGUAUUUGAAUUUUGUACCAUGUAUUUGGCGACUCAAUAUGGGUGAUGUAUACCUAUUUUGGGGGAGUCACAAACUACGACCCUUUUUUUUGCUGUCGAGGAACCAGUUGGAGUACUAUUAGCUACAACUGCUAAGUCAAACCCUGCAUACAAUAGGAAGCGUAUGCUUCUAAGACGAAGCGUAUGCUUCUAACCUGGGACUAACUACAGCACAGUUGGAAGCAUUCACUAUUGAAAUUUUUUAAUAGUGGUUUAAGAGAAGGGUUGAAGAAGAUAACGCUUCUGAACGUUUUAGAGAUGUUAUUUUAGGUCCGUACAAACUUGUUAGUUCAUUUCCAGGAUACAUCAUUAAUGUGUAUAGAUUCAAGGUUGACGACUUGAAUGAACUGACAGCAGUCAAUUCUGGCGUUGUUGUGUUGGGAAGCUGUUACCCAGAUUCUGAGUCCAAUUACUAUGGAAGAUUAGAGAAACUUGUUGUGCUCAAUUAUCCCGGGUGUAAAAAGGUCGUUACAUUGAAGUGUCCCUGGUUUGAUACUAGAAAGGGUGUUAAAGUUGAUCUUAAUAGAAUCGUCACAGUAGAUAUAAAGUCAAAGUUACAGUCUGAUGACUUAUUUGUGUUAACCAGCCAAACAACUCAAGUGUACUACGCCCCUAAUAUCAUAAAUUAUAGAAACCCUUGGUACAUUUGUCACAACAAAGACUCGGGCAUUUGAUGGUACUAAUCUGCCUGGAACGGACGUUACAAGAACAAGUUAGCAAUCCUAGCCACGUAGUGCUAAAUUAUGGCGAUGUGCUGGUAGAUGAUGUCGUUGUCGUACCCGAUGUUGAUGAAGUCAAGAAAAAUGUGGUUGGUAGUCCGUAUGUCGCCAUACAAGAUGAUACCGAUGAAGAAAUUGAUACGCGUAAGGAAGAGACAUAAUCAAAUGAUAAAAAUGAUUUUGAUUCUGAGGGGUUUGACGACGUACUAAGUCUUAACUAAUUUUUAUUUUUUAAAUAUUUUACUAAUAAAAAAGAUUAUUAGAAUAAAUUAACUACAAUUUAAUAAGUUAAUGUUAGUUAUUUCAGUAAUACAGUUAUGCCUAGACAUAGCGGUGGAGGUCGUCGUGGCGGCCGUACAGGAUCAGGUAACAGCUUCUAGGGUGGGUCGUCUUCAUCAGUUAGUGAGUUAAUUUCGUUUUGGCACAACCACAUUCAUUUUGUUUACUUUUCUAUACUUUAUAAAAAAAAGUCCAUUUAAUAUUUUUUUCACAAUGCCAUAACUUAAUUAUACCUACAGAUCCUGGACGUCGGCGUCACCAAGGGCCUUACCUCGGUUUAUUAGGUCGUCCUCCUGUAUUUCCACACACAGUUCAGGUUGAUGUCCAAUCGUCGCAAUAAGUUUCAACUAUAAUAUAUCAUGUUCAAUUAAAAUUAUUUUAUUAUGUGAUUGCACAAUUAAAAUAAUCCAUUAAAUUUUUGUAUUCUAUUAUUUUGGACCCUAUCAAUAAAGCGACCGUACACGCCAUAUGCCUGACGCAUCUCCUGGUUGGAUGUAUGCGAUUUAGCCAGUUUGUGCAUUAUGAUGCCUCCUUUAUGGUGACAGUGUUGCGCGAGUUUGACGUAAGUCAAAUUACAUAUAUUAAACCAAAAAUGUGAUCCAAGUUAUUUAUAUAUUGUUCAAAUUUUGACUGAUACGUACAUUAUAAAUUUUUAAUAAACAUAUUAUAGAUAUGAGGUCGACAUCGCUGAGGCAGCCGACAACGAUGUUAUUAUUGCACUCAUCGUGAAGAACUAUGUUGACUGGUUGUACGAGAUGCAACAAAGGGUAGCCCAGGCAAUUUAAGACCAGCCCGGGACAACUAUACGAGAUCAUCAGCCGCAGAUAGUCUCAAAUGCAACAUGGGUUGCCAUGUGUACGUAUUGGGAUAUUGAUGCCUUCAAGACAAAGUUCGAGCAGAUGAAGAAGAAUCGAGGCUAACUCCGGAUUGUACAUACUUUUGGAUCACAUUCAUUUCAGGAGGUUAAGUCGGUGUGUAAAUAUAUUUAGUUUAGUUUAAUAUUGUUGGGAUCUAUAGUAAAGUAAUGUGAUAUUAAUUAAUCUAUGAUUUAGGCCAUGCUGAGCAACUUGGACCGACCUCCUACUAUGGUUGAGUUUUGGGAUAGAGUCCAUACGUCGAAGGCGUCGACUUCAUCGUCGAAGAUGUAUCCCGUAAUAUUAGCUAUAUAUACGGGUAAUACAUCUACUAUAAUAAUUGUUAGUUAGGAUCAUAUCCAACCUUAAUAUGAUGAUGCCAAGUUAACUCCCAUGUACAUAUAUUAAAUUAUAGGGCUGAUUUGAGAAGCUCCGAGACCAGCGUGUAGUUGAGCUGCAGGCUGCUAGGUGCGAUUCCGAGACGUUAGAUUCCACCAUCCCUCCGCCCGAGAUUUUAUCUCAGGAUGAGGAGAUGGCUCUUUGGGUCUCGUCUCAAGAUCCUCCCAACAACACUACUAGCCGGUAUCAAGUGUUGGGGUUGCCGAGGAUACCAACCUAUACACUACCUGGAGGUAUAUUGUUUUUAGUAUAUUUCUCGUUCAUGAAUAAAGUGAUUAAGAUUAUUAUUCAUGUUAUAUUUAUUUUUGCAGCCUCUAGCCAACAUCUGCAUCCGAGAGCACCCAUGGGACCAUCACAUACGGGCAUUAGCUUAGAUGACUAAAUGUUCUAGAGGGUUAUAACGGUGGUGUCGGAGAGGUUUGGUAUGGAUCUGAUAUUUCAUCAUCAGGACCUGCCCAGUCGUGCUCACAUCCACCAGCCUGCUUAGGACAUUGCAGCUGGUGUGUAAGACCCAACUUUUAUGAAUAAAAUGGAAUUUUCUCUAUUUGUUAUUUUGAAAUAGUAAGGGAUUGAUUCGAUUACUGUGGUUAGUUAUGGGUAAAAUGCGCAAAUUUUUUAAAUAAGUAAGUGGUUAUAAAACAUUCAUUGUUGUCGGGGAAUAUUUGUUUAGUCGUGGAAUAUUCUUGCAGUCGGAAAAUAUUCGUACGAUGGCGCAGCCAUUUGUGGGCCCCAUAACGGAAAACUGUCAGAUGAAGAAAACGACAAGCAUGAGUUUUUUUAUAAAUAACGACGUAGUUGUUACCGUUAACACUGUUGGAAUAAAUGGUGAUUAAAAUACAGUAAUACGUGGUGUUGCACAGUAGCACACGAUAUUGCACAAAUUAUUGAUUCUUACGUAAGAAGUCACUACUCAAAAAUUAUUACAGUAAUUAUUGUUCAAUAUUUUAUUUUAUUGAUUCAAUAAUUACUACGUUGAUAUUUUAUAUUAUUGAUCCAAUAAUUGUCACUACACAGUAUUUCCCAUUAUCAGAUCAAUAAUUCAUAUUAUUUGAAUAAUAUUAUUAGAUAGCAUUAUUGGCAAUGUCUAAGGAAUUUUUGCGUAGGGAAAGGGGUUUGGUCACCUAAUUGCUCUAGUAAGGAGAAAUCCUUAUCGGAAAGCCCCCACUUUCUUGGGAACGACAUGGAUGUCAUUAUUGUAAUUUUGUAAUAUUAUUUGUGAAUAAUUAAUUAUUGAUAAAAAUAAUAAGAAAAUAUUUAUUUUUGUGGAUAUAAAUGAAGGAAUUAAUGUUGAGGUGUUUUAUCAGUAUUUUGUCAGGAAUGAAGAUGUUAAAAAUCAUCCGUAUAUGGAUUUCGGACAUUUUCUAUUUAGAAUUUGGAAAAACUUUCUUCUACAAAGUAACAGAGAAUUAAAUUUCCUAUGGAAUGGACAUAAGAUUCAAAUUUUUCUGAUAAAAAGGCUAUUUAUUAUGAAUUAUUGAAGUUCCGAAAUAAUUGAUUUUUGGAGUUAUAAAUAUUUUUUAAAAGAAAAACAUUUUUAAUGUGGGUGGGACCCACUGGUGUGUGCUGAAGAAAAUGAUGUGGUGUGCGUAGGAAAAGUUUUUGAAAAUAUUAGUAUUUUAUUAAAUUUUCUAUUUUGGCGUUUUAAGCAUUUUUCUAUAAAUAGGGUGCUUAAGUUAGAAUUGAAAAUCACACCAAAAUCUGAAGUUUUCUCUCUUUAUUAUAUAGAGCGUAUUUUUGUGAGUAUUUAGAUAUUUUGAGUGUUGCUAUACAGUGCUAGUUUCCUUCAGCAUUAUAUCCGAUAUUUCAGCCAGAAGUACUAUUCUUUUGAGGUAAGAGAUGUUAUUUUUUUCGUAAAUGAUAUUAUUUCUUUGAAUAUCAUUAUACCGAAAUAUUGGUAUGAAUUUUAUUACGAAAUUUUUACCUUUUUAUGUCGAGGUUACUAUUCAUGUAUAUGACACUAUUCACCUAUACGACACUAUUCAUGAAUACAGUACUAUUCACGAGUACUAUUCACGAAGUAUGAUUUUUCUUGUGAAAUUUUUGUCUUUUCGUGUCGGGGUUACUAUUCAUGUAUAUGACACUAUUCACGUAUGUGACGCCCCCAAAAUAGGUCCAUUCCAUCCAACCCAUUCUGAGUCGCCAAAUACAUGGUACAGAAACAACUACAACUUUAUUAAUACAUUUGUCGUGCAAAAUAUGACAACACAUAACUAUGAGUAUAAAUACAAAUAUUAUCUUCUAGACAAUAUCCACACUCAAAUAAGUCCUCAUUAAAAUUAUUGAUACACUAUUUUACAAAAUAGUGAGGACUACUAUAACAACUAUCUUUAACCAUCACUCCACGCCCCAACUAGUUCCUGCUAUAUUCUCGCCUCCUGAGAAGAAAAAUGGAACAAAAAGGAAAAGGGUGAGCUCAACUAGCCCAGUAAAGAAUAUUAGGACUAAGAUAUUGUACAACAAAUUAUCCUUAGUCUUCAACAGGGAAAAAUCUGAUAGAAUAUAAUAGACAACAAGUUUUAGAUCAACAACUACAGCGGAAACAACAAUUCAUUAGAAGAGUUAAGUAGAGAAUGAAGUCUAUUAUCAUCUAUGAAUUUAAAAGUCCAUCAUCGACAUUUUAUCCCUGUAACAUCAAUCAAUAUAUAUCUUGAAUCAAAUAUUCAUCUUUGCACUACAGGCCAAAGAUAUUUAUCAGUCGGUCAUGUUCAUCUCAACACCUGUUCAUCUUUGCACUACGGGCCAAUGAUGUUCAUCAGGAAAUCAUUCAUCUUUGUACUACAGGCCAAAGAUAUUCAAUAAUAUCAUCAUUAGGACUGAGGAUGAUGAAAAUAUUUUCAAGAAAACGAAUCCAGAGAGAUAAAAAGACAAAGAUUAGGAAUUCAUACUUUAGAUAAUCCAAGUUCAAAAAUAUUCCAUAAUAAACCAUAGUGGAGUAAAAUUCAAGAAUGAAGAUCAAAACAUAGAUACAAUCAAAAAUAGUACCCAUAAUAGACAUCUUGGACAAAGAACGAAAAUUUAAUUUUCUAUAAAUAGUGUCGUAUUCGUGAAUAAUGUCGUAUAUGUGAAUAGUGCCGUAUACGUGAAUAGUAACCCCGACACUGAAAGGUAGAAAUUCCACAAGAAAAAUCAUCAUACUUCAUGAAUAGUACUCAUGAAUAGUAACUCAUAAAUAGUAACUCAUGAAUAGUAACUCGUGAAUAGUAACUCAUGAAUAGUAACUCCGACAUGAAAAGGUAAAAAUUUCAUAAUAAAAUUCAUACCAAUAUUCCGGUAUAAUGAUAUUGAAAGAAAUAAUAUCAUUUACGAAGAAAAUAACAUCCUUUACCUCAAAAGAACAGUACUUCUAACUGGAAUAUCGGAUAUAACGCUGAAGGGAACUUGCACCGUAUAACAAUACUCAAAGUAUCGAAAUACUCAUAAAAAUACGCUCGAUAAUAUAGAGAGAGAAAACUUCAGUUUCUGGUGUGAUUUUCAAUUCUAACCUAAGCACUCUAUUUAUAGGAAAAUACUUAGAACACCAAAGCAAAAAAUUUAAUAAAAUAAUAUUAUUUAUUAAAAUUUUCCUACGCACACCUUAGAAUUUUGAAUUUUGAAUUUUACACAUGCUAGUGGGGCCCACCAAAAUAAAAAACAUGUUUUAAACAUUUUUUUGUAACAAAAUCAAUUCAGACCCAAUAUUCUGGAACUUCAACAAUUCAUAAUAAAUAGCCCUUUUAUCAGAAAAAUUCGAAUCUUAUGUCCAUUCCAUAGGAAAUUUAAUUCUCUACAACUUUGUAACUUUAAGUUUUUCCAAAUUCUAAACAGAAAUUGACCAAAAUCCACAUACGGACGAUUUUGUAGGCUAUAAUCAAAUUUUAGUCAAAAAUGAAGUCCACCAACAUGUUUAACAUGUUUUUAAUAUUUAUUAUAACAAAAAUACUCUUUCUCCUCAUUUAUUCAUAUAUCACACAUUCAUUGUAAAAAAUAUCACCAUUAUUAUAUAAUAUAAAAAUAUAUUUAAAUGAAUUAAUUUAUCAGAAAAGAUAAAAUAUCAAUUUUCAACAAUUGUUACUUUUUUAAAAAUUCCUCCAUUUAUAUCCACAUAAAUAAAUAUUUUCCUUAUCAUAUAAAUCAAUAAUUAAUUAUUCACAAAUAAUAUUACAGAAUCACAAUAAUGACAAUCAAGUCGUUCCUAGGAAGGAGGGAGCUUUCCAAUAAGGAUUUCUCCUUGCUGGCGCGCAAUUAGGUGACCAAACCUCUCCUUAGACAGAACUUCCUUAGACAUUGCCAAUAAUGUUAUCUAAUACUAUUAUUCAAAUAAUAUGAAUUAUUGAUCUGAUAAUGGGAAAUACUAUGCAGUGACAAUUAUUGAAACAAAAAUAAUAUAAAAUAUCAACGUAGCAAUUAUUGAAUCAAUAAAAUAAAAUAUCAACGUAGCAAUUAUUGAAUCAAUAAAAUAAAAUAUUGAACAGUAAUUACUGUAACAAUUAUUGAGUAGUGUUUUCCUACGUAAGAAUCAAUAAUUCAAAAAUAUUGUACAAUAUCGUGUGCUACUGUGCAACCACGCGUAUUACUGUAUUUUAACCACCGAGUAUUCUAAUAGUGUUAACGGUACCAACUAUGACGUUAUUUAUAAAAAAAUCAUACUUGUCGUUUUCUUCAUCCAAUCGCUUUCCGUUAUGGGGCCCACAAAAGGCUGCGUCAUCGUACGAAUAUUCCCCGACAGUAAGAAUAUUCCACGACCAAACGAAUAUUCCCCGACAACAAUGAAUAUUUUAUAACCACUUGCUUAUAUAAGAUAUUUGCGCAUUUUACUCAUAACUAACCAUAUUAAUCAAAUCAACCCUUACUAUUUCAAAAUAAUAAAUUGAGGAAAUUCAAUUUCAUUUAUAAAAAGUUGGGGUCUUACAACGUAUACGACACUAUUCAUAAAAAAAUUAAAUUUUCUUUUCUUUGUCCAAGUUGUCUAUUAUGGUUAUUAUCUUUGAUUGUAUCCAUGUUUUGAUCUUCAUUCUUGAAUUUUGCUCCACAAUUGAUUAUUAUGGAGUAUUUUUGAACUUGGAUAAACUAAAGUACGAAUCCCUAAUCUCUGUUCUGUUAUCUCUCUGAAUUCAUUUUCUUGAAAAUACUUUUAUCAUCCUCAGUCCUAAAUGGUGAUAUAACUAAAUAUCUUUGACCUGUAGUGCAAAGAUGAAUGAUUAUUUGAUGAAUAUCUUUGGCCCGUAGUGCAAAGAUGAAUAGGUGUUGAGAUGAACAUGACCAACAGGUGAUGUAAAUGAAUAUAUUUGGCUUGUAGUGAAAAGAUGAAUAUUUGAUUCAAGAUAUAUAUUAAUUGAUGUCACAUGGAUAAAAUAUUGAUGAUGGACUUUUAAUCAAAGAAGAUAGUAGACUUCAUUCUCUAUUUAACUCUUCUAAAGAAUUAUUAUUUCCGCUGUGAAUAUUGAUCUAAACUUAUUGUCCAUUAUAUUUUAUCUGAUUUAUUGAAGGCUAACGAUAAUUUAUUUUUCAUUAUCUUAGUCAUAAUAUUCUUUACUGGGCUAUUUGAGCUCAUCCUUUUCCUUUUUUUUCCAUUUUUCUUCUCAAGAGGCGAGAAUUUAGCGGG
rnacentral:lncRNA from 1 species